rnacentral:lncRNA from 1 species
UAAAGAUUUUAAAUUCACUCUGAAAUUGAUAAGUAUAUUAUUAGAUAUUUUUUAAAUUUUUUAGAAUAUGUCGGAUAUUAUUUUUUAAAAAAGAAAAAACACUAUUAUUAUUAUUAUUAUACAUUAUUUUGGAGUGUAAAUUUUACAACUCGUCCAUAUGUGGAGUUUUUGGAAUAAUCAUAUCCAGUUGACGAGCUAAGCUCCUACGCUUUCGAAUGUAUAGAGGCCUCCGUAUUUGUAAGUUGUUUUCAAUGAUGAGACAUCAAAUUAGACGAUCAGUUCCGUUAGAUAUGAUUUAUGCUAUUAAAGCUAUUUAGAAACCAAAUUUUAUAAUUUGUUGACUUCGUUUACCUAGUGAACGAGUACUCUCAAAAUGAACGAUUGUAAAUAAAAAUCUCACAAAAAAACAGUGAUAAAAGACUCAAAUUUUGAAUCGAAAAUAUUGAUCUUGCUCUUGAUGUGAUUAAAGUUUCAUGCAAUUUGAAUUGUUCUACACCUUGAAUUUACAAACGUAUCACAUUGGCCAUUAAAAUAUUUAUUUUUUAGAUCCUAUGAUCACUUAGUAAAUGAUAUUGAAAAAUUAUGAAAUUUGGUUUCUAAAUAAUUCUAAUAACGUAAAUUAUAUCUAAAAAAGCCGAUGGUCGAAUCGAAUGUCCUAUUAUCAAAAACAACUUACGAGUACGGAAGUCUCUAUACUUUCGAAAGUAAAGAAGACGUACUCUCGAAUUGGCUACUAAAAAAGAAAAAUGCUUGGUGGCAUAUCCAAACAAGAGGGUUUUGUUGGCUUAAAAGGACUAACAUCCUACCGUGGCAGCAAGUUGGGUCGAAUAACGUUCGAAAUGGCAAGACGUGAAAUUGGACCGAGUCAUGUUCGAACUGAUAUGAGGCUGAUUAGGUCAGAUCACAAUCGCGUAUGUGCUGUAUCUAUACGUUUUAAAUGAUUAAUUAUGUAUGUCUAACAGUUCGAGCUUUUAAGAUUGAUGGUUAGUGUCAAGAAUCUAAUUAUAAAUCUUUUGAAUUUUUAGUAUUUAAAAAACAAUUUGAUGAUAGAAAAGCUCAAUAGAGGCUCUUGAAUAAGAGAGCAAGAUUUAAACUUCAAUUUGGAGCGUCCAGCAGUGCUGAGGAGCAAAAAAAAAAAAAAAAACUCAGGAAGAUGAAUCUAAUUAGGUGUAAGAUUUACAACCCAAUUUUGAAUGUAUAAACAGCAUUGCUUUUAAAAAAACAAAAAAGUUAAACUUCAAUAUGCCCUUUUGGUUAAACAUAUGUUCACUUUGUCAUUUUGUAAUUUAAGAAGUUGCUCUUAAGUAUUAGACAGUGAGAUCAAGAUGAGUAACAGUUCAAAUAAGUUCUAUACAUUUUUACCUUGAUAUAAUCAAAAUAACUUUCAUUGUUACCAUAGUAAAAUUGUUUAAAUUAUGACUACAUAUAUAUGAUAUAUUUGCUCUGAUAGAAUUAUAAUUUAUUUGGGCAAAUAUCAAUUCCCCUCAAUUAUUGCUCAUUUGAAUUAAUUGAGAUUCUAUUAAUUUUUAUUGAACAAUAUUUAUGUUGGGUAAUAAUCAUCAAGUGGUUUAGCUUUAUUUGCUAACAAGUAACAUAAGUUAUUAAAUUUGAUAAAAUUACUAAUAAUUUGAUUGAAUUUUUACCUUCUUUUGACUCAUAUCACUCAAUUUUAAGGAAAAAAAUGUAAAAAAAAAAGUUGAGAGGGCCAUUUUAAGUUCUUCUUAGCUUUGGAAAAGAAAUUAUGUUUAGAUAUAUAAUUUAAAACUAAAUAUUCUAAGAACUGAUUAGAUCUUGAAUAUAAUAUUUUAAUUAUUAUCGUAUUAUUAAUUAUAAUAUUUUUACAUCAUUUUUAUAACAAACAGUCCAUCAAUAUUUAACCACAACAUUUUAGACUACUAUUAAUGGACUAGACUGCUACAAUUAUAAAACUUAUGUAAGUUAAAGAAUUAUUUUAUUUUUAUUUAUUAAAAAAAUCAAAUUUAGGGGACAUUUCAAUAUAGCUUAGCUAGGGGGUGUCCACACAUAUGUUACCUAAUUUAUGCAUGGGACCAUGUUAGAUGCCUCCAUGUGUCUCUUCACAUGGCCUUGGUGACCAUGCAAAGGGAUUGUCACUGUCUCACUAUGAAUAGUUUUAUGGCUCUUUUUUCUUUUUCCUUUUUCUAAAAAAAAUAUAAACAAGGGUACCACAACACUACACCUACUUUGGCCUUUGUAGGUCUUGUGAAGUUAAGUUUCCAUAGUUGGAUAAUGGUUGGGUAGACACUUGGCACAUUGGGUAGGUGGGUUGGGCCACACAAGAUCUAGGGUUGGAUUUUACUGCAGUAAAAAAAUUAUAUAUAUAUAUAGUGUAGAGCUACUAUGCUAUCAGAAGCAUAAAGUAGUUGGUUCUUUCGAUUUUUUAGCCCUUGGAUUAAAAAUUAUACGGUUGAGAUGAUAGCGGUCCCCUUAGGGUUGAGUGGUCCCCCUAGGGUUGAGUGAUCCCUAUUGGUUAAUAAUAUUAAUCCAAUGGUUAUAAAUGAUCAAUGGGGUUGAUCUAAAGGCUAAAAAAUCUAAAGCACCAACCACUUUAUACUUCCGAUAGCAUAAUAGCGCUCUCUCGCUCUCUCUCUCUCUCUCUCUCUCUCUCUCUCUCUCUCUCUCUCUCUCUCUCUCUCUCUCUCUCUCUCUCUCUCUCUCUCUCUAUAUAUAUAUAUUAUAGAACUAAAUUGGAAUACUAUCAAUAACACCAAGUUAUUCGUGCUAUUAGAUUUUCGGCCCUUAAAUAAAAAAAUGUAUGGUAAGGAUGAGUUGGGCCCCUUAAGGUUGAGUAAGUUAUUGGUUGAAUGGUAUAAUCUAACGGGUGAAAAUAAUCAAAAUGUUAAAUCUAACAGUAAAAAAACUGGAUAGCACCAAAUGCUUGGUGAUAUCGAUAGUAUCCCAGUUGGACUCUCUAUAUAUAAUUUUAUGCAUAACUUAUUUUAAAAUAUCAAACCACUGAUAAUCUAGUAUGUAGCUAUGAAAACAUUGAUAAGGAAAUUGAAGAUUUGAACUUACAGUGUGAGUUUAAAUUUGAGACUCUUUGAUUUUGAUCUGGUUUAUAGGUAGAAAAAGUAAAGAGCAUUUCAAGUUGAAUACUUUGAAAUUUAAAAUUUUAAUUUUAUUUUCUAAUUUUAUAGCAUACUUAAUUUAAAUAUAUUUUAACAAAUUUUAUUUAUAGAUUUUAACUUUUCUGAUGAAAUACUUUACAUCCUAAAAAAAUACUUUGCUAUUUGAUGAUAUUCUCUAUUUUCUUUUUUAGCGUUUAGCGUUUGGCACAUUUAAAUGGUCUAGAUCAUGUUCAACGGUGCCGAUCGUCGAUUUGGAAGCUCUAUCAUCAAAAAUAAAUCAGUAAUAAAUCGAGCAGUUUACUACCGAUAGUAGCCCAGUCAAACUCAUAUAGAGUUUUGCUAGAAUAUUAUCGGUAGUAAACGGCUCGAUUUACUACCGAUUUGUUUUCGAUGAUAGAACUUUCAAAUUGAUGAUCGGCACCGUUAAACAUGAUCUAAACUAUUUAAACUAUCUGGAAAUUAAAUUUCACACAUUUUCGAUAUUGUUCUCUUGUCCAUCAAGUGAACAAACAAAAUGAAUUGCUGAAAAUGAAUUUCCUUCAAAAAGUGAUGAUACAAUUUUUAUAUUUGAAAUCUAGAGUCUAGAUCUUAUUUUAAAUAGUUUAAAGAAUUUUUUAAUAAAAAUUUAGUUGAUUUGAGCUCUUCUAUACCGUUAAACGAGCAAACGCACCAUAUCGGCCAUUAAAAUUAUAGAUUUUGUGACCCUUUGAUCGUUUAGUUAGUGAUACCAAAAAAUCAUGAAAUUUGAUUUCUAGAUAAUUUAAAUGGUAUAGAUCAUGUUCAACGAUGCCGAUCGUCGAUUUGAAAGCUCUAUCAUCAAAAACAAAUCGGUAGUAAACCGAGCAGUUUACUACCGAUAGUAGCCCAGUCAAACUCAUUUAGAGUUUUGCUAGAAUACUAUUGGCAGUAAACUGCUCGGUUUACUACCGAUUUGUUUUCGAUGAUAGAGCUUCCAAAUUGAUGAUCGGCACCGUUAAAUAUGAUCUAAACUAUUUAAACUAUCUGGAAAUCAAAUUUCACACAUUUUCGAUAUUGUUCUCUUGUCCAUCAAGUGAACAAAAAAAUGAAUGGCUGGAAAUGAAUAUCCUUCAAAAAGUGAUGAUACAAUUUUUUUUGUUUGGCACCAUUUCAACAUAAAAUUACUUUAUUGUCGUUGAGCAGGAUAUGCUUACAACAUAUGAUUUCCAUAAAUCAGAUUAUUGGGCCUUUUGGCCCUGUUAACAAGAGGCUGAAGGUCCCAAUAGGGUGGGUCGGGUCGGGUCGGGUCGGGUCGGUUUUGGAUCGGAUCACUUUGGAUUUCUAGUUAUUUUGAAUAUCAUUUCGGUUUCCAACCAGUCAAGUACAUGUCAUCUUGGGCUUCGGAUUCCGAUUGGUUUCGGGUUUUCUCAGUUUCUGAUUUUUGAUCAUUUUGGUUUUCGAUAAGAUUCAGAUCAUUUGAUGUAUAUUCAAUAAUGUUCGCGCAUUUAAGCUGCACAUCUAUAGUACUAUUUCUCUCGAACAUUUUGCAUUCAGGUUCAUUUAUAAGUACUCUGAAAUUUUGUUCAAGCGUCUCCGAAUGUUGCAAUUUAGUUCUGUAUUUUUCAAAAUUCUCGAUUGUUCUCUUAGGUUUCGGGCCUUUUCGGGUUUGACAUUCUAGGUUUUGUUCGCAUUUCGGGUUCGUUCGAGUUUUAGUUUGUUCGGGCUUCGCAUUGCUUGGAUUUUGGUAAGUUCAACAUUUGGGUUAGCUUUUGUUACCUUUGAUUCAAAAUUAUGAUUCCGCGCGUCUAUGAAUCCAAAAAAAAGAAAUAACCCAACAAAAUCAUAUUAUUACUCAUACCAAUGACUCAUUACAUGUGGUAAGAUCGAAACCGGCGAUACAUAGUUAGGAAAAAUAUUACAUAAUCUGAGAUGAAGAUGAAAUUGACAACACCAGCAACUUGUUCCUGAAUUUAGUAAUUUAUAACUCAGGAAAAGUUCUUUUUUCAUAAAUGUAUAAAUCUAUCACCUGCUAAAAUGGGUGUUUCAUAAAUAGAUUGGCGGGCAACUUUAGCCAAAAAAAGCGAAAGCACGCCUCAGCCAUCCUAAAUUCUGGAAACUUAGCCCAACUUUCACGCUAGUAUUAUUAUAAAAUAACUUUACUAUGCUUGGAUUAGAUUCAUUGAAUCUAGUCGAAUGAAUCUAUCUGUAAAUAAUAAAUUUGACUCCAUUAAUAGCACUAUUCUAACUCUGGAGAGUCUUGUUUUCUUUACUAGGAGAACUGCAAAGAGCUUGUAAAGGUUUGCCCAAAGCUCCAAUCCGACGGGGCUAUGUCCGGGAACUCUAGGGUUUGGCCGUCGUCAGUGGUCACACUGAAGGAGAUGGAUUGACCGUUCAGGUACGCAUUGGAUUGCCAGUUGACUCCCCAGUUUCGCGACAUCGUCAUCCAUCCAGUGUUCGAGCCCUUGAUGGACACCGAUUGGAUCGCUCCACUUCCGCCGACGUUCGAUAUGAGCACGAGCUCAAAGUAGUUUAGCCCAUUGAUUGUGAAUCUCACUCCCCCUUGCUUCGCACAUGGAACCCUGCGUGUUUGUCAAGUCCCGAUUAGAUCUUUCUUAACAAUAUUAAUAAAUAAGCCACCUAAAAGGGUAACUAACAUUUCGUUUGGUCUUACUGACCGUCGCUGGUGCAAGUGAUAAACAGCUUGAUGGUUAGUAUCUGAGAUCUCAAAUUUGAAUCAUAAUUGAUUCACAUUUUCAGCUAAGUUUAUUUCUGAAAGAAAUAAGCAAAGUGGGUAGCAUACUAUCUAUUUUUUUAAAAAAAAAAACAUUUCAUUUGGUCUUUUAUAAAAAUUUGUUGAAUAUUUUCUGAUGUGGGAUUACAAGGACACAAAUAGGUAAUCGAUCAAUAGAAUUUCGAUUUAGUACCCGCAAUCGGCUUAAAAAUGUAACGAUAACCUCAGCUUACUUAAUUAGAAAAUAAUCACACAAUUAAUCUAGUGUAGUACAACUAGUUUAUGCUCCUCAAUGCAUCUUGUUACCCAAAAAAUAGCUUAUAAAAAAACUACUAGAAGUGUAAAUUGAGAGUGAGGAAAAUAAGAACUUCACCUUUGAUACAACACAGGUACGAUACCCCCGCGGUAGAUGCCGAUCUUUUCCCAUGCAGGCUGAGCCAUGUCAAAGUGCUGGCGAGGCGGGUUGCACCAACCGCCGUCGUCAUUUGGGAGGGCGUAGUUCGGCGGGCAAAAGUUCGUUGCGGUGAUCAUCACCGACGCCCCCUUUAAGCACCACUGGGAGUCUGAUUGGUAGUCGCACGUGAUCAUGUAGCACUGCCCGCACGACGCCCCGUCAUUAAACAGAGCCGUGCUUAGAGCCGCAGUGUCGGUCCCGUACCCGGUCGAGUACAAGUUACCGUAGCCACAAGCUCCACCUACAAAAUAUAUAUGAAAACGAUCCGCUGAAACUCAGCUCCUUACUCAAAACACUCAUAACCACAACAUUAAGAUCGAUCAGCGGGUCUACCCAUAGUUCCGGAGGCGUCGCUCCCGCCAUAGAACGUUGCGGUAGCUCUGUUCCAACCCGAAGACGCGAAACCAUCGACUCUGGUACCACUUAAGCACAUUAAACACAUGACAAAUGCUACAAAAAAUGUGCUAAUCCCCAUCUCAAUGUAGAGAGACAAAGAGAGAGAGAGAGAGAAAGAUGAAUGUAGAAGCUAAUUAUUAGAGGUGAGGAGUGGUGAGAAUUUAUAGGGUAUAAGUAGGAGGAGAGAGAAGAGAUAAGACCCACGAGAUACAUGGGAUCAAAGAUCAAAUCACAUGAUGAUGAUUAAUUAAUGAUUGUACAUGCAAACAAUUAAGCAUCCCAUAAAUUGCGGGCCUGUGACGCUUACACACGUAUUUUAUUUUAUUUUAUUUUUUAACUGGGUAAAUCGCAUGGCUAGUCCCUGAACUUUUAGUCGAGUUUAUUUUGGUCCUCAAACUUUUAAAUCCGGCAUUUGAAACUUCAAAAUCUCAAACUUGUUUUACUUUAUACCUAAUCUUAGGGGUUCUUUGGUUCUGAGUGGGAAAGUAUUUUUUGUCCAUUUUGUUUCGAAAAAAAAUUUCAGCGAAAAAUGAAAAAUACGAAAAGAAUACUUUUUGGAAAACUUUUUAUUUUUCAGAAAGUAGUUUUUGGCGAUACUUGGAGAAAGCAAACACCCACUUAGUCGAAAAAGAAUUAUAAACUAUAAUUAUUUUAUCUGUGUAUCUGUACUUCGUAAAUUCGUCAGAAAAAUAUAGAAAAUGCUACAACUUAAGGGGCGUAAGUAAUCAUUUUUAUUCCGACAUUAAACCCGAAUAAGAAUUAAAGUAAAACACUUCCGAGUUUAGUAACUCAAAUAUUGAACUUAAAAUGUUCGAGGACUUAAAAAAAAAUUUGCAAAGUUCUAGGAUUUGCGGUGUAAUUUAGCCUAAAUAUUUUAAUCUCUUCUUCUGAGAUUCUCUUCAUGUUCUCUUGUCGUGGAGAGACUUAAUUUAGUCCUUAUUCUUUUUGCACUCAACAACUUCAAAAAGCAUUAUUAAUUUUAUAGUAAAAUCUUACAAAAUUUAUUUAAAUUAUAAACCAUUUUAAAUCAACUAUCUAAAUUUUUAAAAUUUUAAUUUUACUAUCCAAUCUUUUGUUAGAUACUUAUUAUUGACUAAAUUAUGCCUAACUUUUUGUUAUGUGGCAAUAAACUGAUGAGACCAAUAACUUAAGUUAGGUUGUGCCCAGUAAGUUGAGUGGGGCAAUGGUUCACAACAGAUCUAGCAAAAGAGACCUAAUAAUUAGUGCUAUAUAUGGGUGCGCUUUUUCUAUCAACACAUAUACUGUUAAGAUAGUUGGUUAGCACUUACGAUCCACAGCUUUCAAUUUGUUUAAUUUGAGUCGGUAAACAAGUUUGAUUUAAAAUUUAAGCUAAUUACUUACUAUAAUAAGUUUACAGUUGUAUGAAUUGCAUUUAAAUUUUAAAGUUAAAAUACGAUUGAUUAAGUCAAAUCAAAUAAAUUGAAAGGUGGAAGCGUAAAUUUAUCUCAAAUUUGAGGAUUAUAUAUAAAUGGAAAAAAAAAAGAGAAAAAUGGGGGAUUUGUUGACAAAAUGUGUCACAUGGUGAUGUUGAGAUCACACUUGUUUAGAGCACAUGGGCUAGGGUUGAUAUGGGCGUGAUUAAAGGUAUAAUUUUGGGGGAGGAGUUUUGCUCCAAUCAUCGUGCCGAGAACGAGGCAUGAAUUGCUCUUUUUGCCCAAGUUUUGAUAGGGAUUUGUUAUUUUAUUUGACCCUGAAAAUAUGCAGUUAAUUAAUUAAUUAAUUAAUUAAUGAACUUUGGAUAUGUCACGCUGCAAUUAGGCGGUCGUUUGGUACCACAUAAAUAUAAAUACAGUAUAGUUAAAAAUACAUUCAAGUGAAAAUACACCAUUAAUAAUUUUAUAUUUUUAGUUGAUUGGUUACGGUAGAAAGUGUUGCAUAGUUGCAUGCAGUUGAAAAGCAUAUUAUAAAUUUUUAUUAUUUUUUAUAUUGGGUGGUUAGAUUACCUCUUAUGUAGGAAAGGGGGAAAAAAAAACUUUUUAAACAAUUAUUAUAGAGGUAAGCUUAUUUUUAUUUAAAAUUAUGCUUUUCAAGUGCUAUAGUUAGAGCUAUGGACAAAUUAGGCGUAGUUCCAACUCCUACAGUUGAGACUCCUCGUGCAGUUGCAACUGCAAUUGUUGAAUUAAAAUGUAUCAAAAUAUAUGACGGAUUUGGAUUUGCAUGCAGUUACAACAGCAAUGUAGUUGCAAUUGCGUGCAGCCAAAUAGCCCCUUAGACUCGCGGAGAGAUUGCAUUACUUACAGUGAGAAUACGAUGGAAAAAUACUCUGAUCGUUUUCAUACUUAUUAUAAUAUAACUUGAGUAUGAUAUAUUUUUUGGGCUAAAUUGCAAUUUUGGUCCUUAAACUAUGAGGCGGGUCACAUUUUUUUUUUCUCAAUCUUUAUUUAUUGUAAUUUCUAAUUUGAACUUUGUAAAUUAUUACAAUCGAGUCUCAUAAGCUAAUUCAGUUGAUUAAAAAAAUUAAUUAUCGCUGAUAUGAAAUAAAUGUAAUAUCUUAAUUAUUAUCGUAUUAUCAAUCACAACACUGCCACAUCACAUUCAUAUUAACAACACAUCAAUAUAUACUCAAUCAAAUUGAGUUGUGAGAUUUGAUUGCGAUAAUUUAAAAAUCGAACUAAAAAUUAUAAUAAAUUAAAUAUUAUGGUCCAAAAUGUUAAACACUUUAUGGUUUGAGAGCCAAACGUGCUAUUUAGCCUAUUUUCGAUGGGCCUUCAAAAAAGACAUAAACGUAUUCUCAUAUGCUUUUAUCUUAACACUAUUUUACCUAACAAUGUUAAAUGAUCCUCAAUUCUAAACGAACACUUUGUUAUAAAAUGAAGUGAGCACCAAUUUCGGAACUCAGUCGUAAAGGUUUUAAGAUGAAAUUUUAGUAAAAAUUUUAAACCUAUCAAAGUUUAAAAAAAAUUUUCAAUUUACUAGCUAUUUCACUAUGGAAAUUUAGGUAUGUUAUUUAGUUUAGUGAACUUGAUUCUAGUAUUUCACAAGUUCAUGUGACUAUGUGGUAAUUAAGGCAAGUUAGAUGCCCAAAUUUCUAAUAAAGUAGUCAUCAAAUGAUAUAAAUCAAAUAAAUUAAAAGAAAGAAUAUUAAAAAUUAAAACCUUUGAAGAUUGAGUAGGGGGCCUAAAAUGAACCAUAGUUCACGUAAUCCACAGUGCCUCAAGUCAACAUCUUAAAAACAAUUUUAUUAACCUUUUUAUACAAUAUAUUUAUUUGAGGUUGACAAUUAAUAUGCUAGGGUUGGGGAGUUUGUCUCUUUUGAGAAGUUAUAUAUAUAUAUAUAUAUAUAUAUACAUAUAUAUAACUGGAGUAGGGCUACUAUACUCUUAUGAGUAGUGGACCCUUACUACUCAUAAGUUGUUUUCGAUGAUGGAGCUUCCGAAUCGACGAUCCACUCCGUUAAAUAUGAUCUAGAGCAUUUAAAACUUCUAGAAAUUAAAUUUCAUAAUUUUUCAACAUCAUUUACCUUAUGAUCAAAAGCUUACAAAAUUGACAAUUUUUAACGGCCGGUAUGGGAUACUUGCUAGUUUAACGGUGGAAAAGAAUCGGAAUAUGUUGAAUUUUUGAUAGAAAAUUCUAUUCACUACCUAGAUAAAGAUCAAUAACUCCGAUCGUUAAUUGAGGGAUCCGAUCAUCCAUUUUUAGGACGUCGUUCGAUUUUGACCGUUCAUUUUAUGCCCGCUUGAUGGACUUUAUUAUGAUUUCAAAAAAUUACGAAAUUUAUUUUCUAGAAAUUUCAAAUACUCUAGAUCAUAUUUAACGGAGUGGAUCGUCGAUUCGGAAGCUCUAUCAUCGAAAACAACUUAUGAGUAGUAAGGGUCCACUACUCAUAAGAGUAUAGUAGCCCUACUCUAUAUAACUGAUCUUACUUUGUCUAAAAAAAUAAUAAUAAUAACCAGGUUGAGUUCUGAGUGCUUGAAUUUGACAUCCAUGCAUCUGCUUGUUUUGUGUUUUAAAUGCCAAGUUCCUCAAAUUUUGUUAAUGUACAUCAUGUACACAACAAGCAAACAUAUUGCAACGAUCCGACCCGCUAGCAACAAUAACUCGUUGGACCAAAACUCGUUGGGCCCAAACCAUCGGCCCAAAAUGCUUAAGCCGGGUUAUUAUUACUAGCAUGUAGGUCUCAUAUAAACUGAUCGAAAUCAGUAUCACAUCCGAUGUGAGACUAUUGGGGGCGUUACAAACUCCUCCUGUUUAGACGAACCAGAUCACAGACAGACAGAGCAGAACCAUUACCAGGCGAUGUGAGAUUCUAGAAGUGGCUCUUACGGGUUCAAGAGAUGGCUCCCACCAAAUCCGUUGGUGUAGUACUUUGUCCCGCAUAGCACUUAAUUCUCACACUUCCGGCUGGUGUUUGUCUCUGAUACCAAUUGCAACGACCCAACCAGCUAGCAACAAUAACUCGUUGGACCAAAACUCGUUGGGCCCAAACCAUCGGCCCAAAAUGCUUGAGCCGGAUUAUUAUUACUAGCGUGUAGGUCUCAUAUAAACUGAUCGGAAUCAGUAUCCCAUCCGAUAUGGAACUAUUGGGGGCGUUACACAUAUUUUAUUUCUGUUAUUAGACUCACAUUUUCUUUUCUUUUCUUUUCUUUUCUCUUCUUUUGUUUUUCUUUUUGAGAGAGAAAGAUAAGAAGCUAUUCAUUUCGUUCAUUUUUAGAAAUAAACCAAGCUUGAAAUGAGAAGCAACUAAGUUUCAAACUUAAGAUCUCAAAUACUAACCAUCAAACUCUUAGCCAGCUGUGUCGGAUACGAUCAGUCACUCUUUCUUAUUUUAUUACAAGAAAAGAUAGAAAAGAACAUCCAUUUCCCUUUAAGAAAAGAAAAAAAUAGGCAAUUGAUAAUUGAUCUUCAAAUAUCGACUAGUUCGAGAGUCUAACACCUUGGCUAUUUUCUUUUUCUUUCGCAAUAGAAGGUCCAAUAUUUAUGCACGUAGCAUAUUUAUGCUUAGUACAUGAUUCGAAUUGAAGACUCGUUGUAGCUACAAGACAACAUCUGUUUUACGUUUUAACAUAAUAUCAUAAUAGAAAAUCUAAGUUCGAGCCCCACCAGAUUUCUAGCUUUAUUUAACUAUUCCACAUUUUUAGCCUAUUAAAAUAUCUAGAGUCCACACUUAACUAUACCUUCAAAUCUUGCGCUUAUUGUGUAUUAGUCUAAGUUGGGACAUCCACUUUUAACUAGGAGUUAAAGAGAUAUUUAUUAAUUAAAUUGCAUUCUUUAAAUUUUACUUAACAAGCUAAUUAUACUUUAAACAAGUCCCCAACAUCAAAUGCACUAAAGAUUCAUCUACAUGAAAUCUCAAAGACUCAACCUUUUGCCUUAAGACUUAUGUAUAGCAUGUCAAGCUUACGGGCACGACGAAAAUCAGACGAAGUAUUCUGCUGCUGACAAAAGUAAUAAAUAAAAAGACCAACAAAUAUCAAUAAUGGGAGUUUUUUUUUUUUUUUUUUUUUUUUGAGAGAUAGGUAGCACGCUACCCGCUUCGUUUAUUUCAAUUAGAAAUAAACUUAGCUAGAAAUGUGAAUCAACUAGGAUUCGAACUUGGGUCUCGGCUACCAACCACCAAGCCCUUUGCCACUUGCUCUAGGGACGGUCAGUAUCAAUAAUGGGAGUUGAAAUCCAUAAUGUUGAAAUCCAUAAUGUUGUAGAACAAAAGAAGCUGAAUAUAUAACCGAUCAAUCUAGCGUAACAGGGAUAAGAUAGAUUAUAGUGAAAUAAAAUUAAAAAUCAUAUGAAAAUGUUGGAACCAGUUCAAGUAAUAUCUUUCACUGAGAUGGAUCAAAAACCUAGUAAUUCCCCAAGAAGAUACUUGAAUUAGCUAGUAAUGCAACCAUUAAGCUAAUUAGUGCUCGUCGCACCGAAUAAGCGAUACCGCGGUCAACCUAAUCAUUUUUGAGAUCAUAACUAAGGGAACUCAAAGAGUCUUGGUAAAAUGCUUAAAUAAUUUUAUGGAUUGAGUAGAGCUUAAUGAACACAUGGUCUAGCUUAAAGGGAAAGUCAAAUACAUUAAUAAUAGCACUAAAUCAAGCACACAUAGUAAUUGCAUUAGCAUAUGAUCAAGUGGUGGCUAUAUGCAUGGUUGAUCAUGUGAGUGACCUUACAUAUAUAGCUAGUUUUAACAAAGAAUAUAGGAGGCUAGUAGUUUUACCAAAUCUAAGAAUGAAAAAGAAAAAAAAAAAAAAAAAAAAAGUGCAAGGAAAAGUGCUUCUAGAUGGAGAUGGACAAUUUUGUCAAUGGUGACCAUGAGAUGCUCUUAAUUAGACUUUGAAUGCAUGGUUGCAAUUAAGGAAAGACUUAGCCAUAAAAUAAAGUUAAAGGAAAGACUUGGCCAUAUAAUAGGUUAAUUUUUAGGCUAAAUUACAGAAAACUCCCUGUCAAAAUCCGAUUUUUCACUUUCCCCUUCUGCCAUUUAAAAACCUACACUUUGCCCCCUUGUAAAAUGAAAAAUAUGCACUUCACUCCAUACCGUUAGUGAUCCGUUAGGGUUCCGUUAUAAAAUAUUUUUUUAUGCCAACCGCCCUCUUCCAUGUUGCUUCGCCUUCCUCCACCUUGCCGAUCGAGGCGGCGGCAGUUGAGGAAGAUGAGGGAGGAGACGAAAAUGGUGAGGAACAAAAUGGUCAUUUUAUUAUCACAGUACACACCGUACCUCUCCUGUGAAUAUUGUUCAUUUUACAAGGAGGCAAAGUGUGGGUUUUGAUAGUGGAAAAAAUAAAAAAUCGAGUUUUGACAGGAGAGUUUUAUGUAAUUUAACCUAAUUUUUAUCUUAUUUUUUGCCUUCACUUACUAGUCUAUUCCGGAUGGGUCUGAAUGGGAGUUAAUUAUUGAUGAAAUUUUAGCAUAGUAGAAUAGAUCAAAAGACGGAAGGAGUUCUCCACCUUCCGCUACUUUUUCUUAGUGGAUUGGAAGAGAUUCAGAGUAAAAUAUUUUUUUUAUGUUAUUUUUGGCCCCUACUUACCAUCAUUUUGGAGUCGAUCUAGAAAGGAGCUCCAGUAAGAUCCAUUUGCUUUGGAUUAGUGAAACGUAAAUGCAGAUAAACUCAAGAGCAGUGAAGUACAAAAUUUUGAAAGGAAGAUUCCACCACUUUGGUUGUUUGUUUUGUUGAAACUUAACUAUAUUGUAAGUAAUUUUUUGACAUUUUUAGUAACUUAGUGUUUGUUUAUUGUAAAUUACCUAAUUUUAAACUUUUUUUUAGAGAGAAAGAUAAUAUGAUACCUGCUUUAUUUUAAAAAAAAAAAUAGCUGAAAAUAUGAAUCAAUUAAGUUUCAAAUAAAGUCUCAUAUAUUCAUAUCCAUUGACAUCCCUAAUACAAAGGGGUAUUUUUGUAAUUUAACCCACAUUUUAUCCAUAGUAUAAAAAACGUAUAGAACUUAUCUGAAUUAUUGACUUUGAAUCGGUUAUCCAACCUUCAAAUUUUUUAUUUUACUAUUUAACUUUAUAAUUUAUUUGAUUUGAGUCGGUCAAUAAUACCUUGACUUCAAAAUUCGACCAAGUAUUCAAAUUUUAUCGUCAAAGUGCUGCUGACGGGUUCAAAUUAAAUAAAUUAAAAAGUUAAAUAAUAAAAUCAAAUUUUUGAACAAUUUGAUAGCCGACUUCAAAUGAUCGCAGUUCAGGUAAUUUUAUACAUUAUUGUCUCAAAAAAAUAAAAAAAAUAAUAUUUAACAUAUUCUUCAAAAUUUUAUAAAUAUCUUAUCUACUCUCUACGACUAAAGUAUUCUUAUUAAUUUAAAAAAUUCCUUGAAAUAUCCCUAUUUUUCCUAAAUUUUGCCGACCGGAUUAAAUUUUAGAAGGGUAUUUUAUUCUGUAUGACUAAAUAUCUUAUCCAUACUUCAAAAAAUAUCUUAUUUGUUCCGUAUGAUUAAAGUAUUCUUAUUAAUUUAAAAAAAAUUCCUUCAAAUAUCUCUAUUUCUCCUAAAAUGUACUAAAAUAAGAUUGGAUUUUAGGAGGGUAUUUUAGUAAUUUCACCUUUUUGAACUCACACACAAAUAAAUACACCACCACCAGUGGAUGAUGUGGAUCGGACCGUUAGAGCGAGCGCUCUCUUUUUAAAGUUUAAAAACUUCUCCCCCUCCUCCUUAACUCAAGCUCAAGCUCCUCCCUUGUAGCCGUUGCAAUCACCUCUCUCUCUCUCUCUCUCUCUCUCUCUCUCUCCAUGGAUUCAGCAUCCCUCAUAACCCCUUCCUCCGAAGAGCGCUUCUGGAGCAAGCUCCGCAACCGCGUCGAAGCCAUUCUCGACGAUCGGAGGCCCGCAAACCGCCCCGCCGAUCCCGCCGCGCAUUUGGUAUCGCCGAUCCCGUCGCGCCUCUUCCAAUUUUGAUCCUUUUCUUCUCCUCCUUGUUUUUUUUUUUUUCGAUUUCGUUUUUAAUCGGAGGAGGUGCUGUUUUUCGACAGUGCGGAGCGGAAUCCGAGCGCGGGAAGCGGUCGCGGGAGGAUUCGCUUCUCCUGAUCAGGGGGCUGGAUUCGGUCGCUUCGUCGCUGUCUCAGCUCUCGGAUACGCUGAGCGCGGCGCAACAGGUGAAAAUUGAAUCUGUUUUUUGUUGCUGGCAUAGUGUUUGUGGAAAUGCCUCUGCUCUUUUUGGAUGUUAAUGGAUGAAAUUGUUGAUGCCCUUAAUUUGAUUGGAUUGAUUGGUGUGUUGAAUUUGUGGUGAAUUUGCUUUUAUAAGAGGAAAAAUUAGUCCUUUUAAUUUAUCCAAAUAUAGGGAAAGAUGAAUGGAGAUUUGAAGACCCCCUCAAUUUUUCUUUUAUUUUUAAAAAAAAUUGACUAUUCAAUUAAAUUUUAGUUGGCUUUAUUUGUUUUUAUUUUCCUUAAUCGAGUUGGGGGUUCGUAAAAUCGGUUGUCUAAAAAGCCACUGAGAAUGAUUAAGGCUUCGUUUGUGUAAUGACUGCGACCUGCUAGUAAUAAUAACUUGUUCAGUCCAAACCACCGCCCAAAAUGGUUAAACCUAGUUAUUACUAAUAGAGUGUGAAACCUCAUAUAUUUCAAAUCAAAACCCUUUUUUCAUAGAUUCUCCAUCCCAUCAUAAUCCUUUUUUCAUAGACUCCCCACCGUCCCUCCUAUUUAGAUCCUGAUGUUCUCGUCAGGUCCAAACCAGAUCACAAACAUAUAGACUCCCAGAGGUGGCUCCUACCAAAUCUAUAGUAUAGCACUUUGUCCUGUAUAGGACUUAGCUCUCACACUUCCCGCUGAUAUUCAGCUCUGAUCUCAAAUAUAACAACCCGACUCGCUAGUAAUAAUAAUUCGUUCAGUCCAAACUACCGGUGCAAAAUGUUUAAGUCAAGUUAUUAUUAUUAGGGUGCGAGGCCUCAUAUAUUCCAAAUAAGAAUUUCUUUCUCAUCCAAUGUGAGACUAUUGGGGCAUUACAGUUUAGGAUUGCAAGUAGUAUGCAUUACGUAUGGUAGAAAAAUAUUCCAUUUGUUUCCAUAAAGAAUAGUAUGUCGCGUUGAUUGCACUCAUUCAGCUGAGAUAUCUUUGUUGAAUAUAAAAAUAUAAAAACAACUUUACUUAGUAACUUAAGUUUUUGGAGUACAACAGUUGUUUCAUAUAAUUUAAUAUGGUAUCAGAACAGGAGAUCUUAUGAUCAAGGCUGUAUUCACUUAUGUGAAUUUUUUUCUAAAAUAGAAAAAGAAACGAAAUCAAUCGAAAAAAGCAUCGGUCAUAUCUCACCAGGAAUUUCUUCAGAAAGCUCGAGUUGGUCUUUUGAUGGGCCAGUAGAUCUGCAAAAACUUGCCCCUUUAUCGCUUUGGGAGUGACACAUUCUAUGUCAAGUUCCACCAGGUUUCUAGUGUUAUUUAAUUGCCUCCCAUUUAAUUUAGUCCAUGUCUUAGACCUAUUAUAAAGUCUCAAGUCCAGACGUAAAAGAAAGAGUUAAAUAUAAAAAUAUAAAAAUACUGUUCUCUGGUAGCUUUAGCAUUUGAAACACAACGGUUAUUUUAUAUAAUUAAACCAUCUUUACGUACUUUCUCCAUAACAUUUUUUGGCCUAAUAGCCCUGAAUUCAACAAAAUCACCAUUAUGCGUAACAAAGUCUCAUAUGUAAUUGACGAAAAUAACUGCAAUUGAAAGCAUGGAAAUUUAAGGGAUUGUCUAUUACAAGAAAAUUAGAUCAGAUUAUUUAAAAAUGCCAUAUAGUUGAGCACUGGCACUGCCAAUUUAUAUGAUUUAAUUGCUUUGGAUAAUCAAAAAUUUGGUUAUGAUAUCUUUAUUUGCUUAAUUUUGAAACUGCUGCUGUAACUUCAUUUACUUCAGUUUUAGCAUUAAAUUUAGCCGCAUUUGCUUUACUUUUUCUAUAUUCCUAACAAUAACAGGAAGUGAAUGCUCUAGCUAAAGCCUCUGUAGCAGCAAAAGAAUUGCAAGGAGAGAGCCAAAGAACAGAUGAGGAGGAGGGGCCAAAAGCAAAGAGGCAUUGUGGCUCCGCCGAGAUCCCCGAAAAACACGAUUCAGCUUACACCGAUAAGAACAAAGUUAUUGCUCACACCGAUAAGAACGAAGCUAUCGAUUCCGACAAGCAUAAUGAAAACAAAGAAGAGGCAGCUUCUGAUGAGUGUCAAGAUAAAAAUGAUAAGCACACUUCUUCAGAUGUUCUGCGAAGUGCUAAACUGAAGCAGGCAAAAAAUGUAUGAAUACACAACUACUGCAUCUGUUUUUUUCUUUUUGCAGUAAGUUUCACGACUAAAGGCUUUCUUUUUCCGCUUUUCGUCCUUCGUGAUUUACGCAGCUUGCGAUAUCAAUGGCAACUAAAGCGUCUUCUCUUACGAGAGAGCUAAAGACGAUAAAAUCGGAGUUGCUGUUUAUGCAAGAGAGGUGUAGUUUGCUUGAAGAGGAGAAUAGGCGGCUUCGCGAAGGGAUAGAGAAAGGAGUUUCAGAAGAAGAUGACCUGGUAAUUGCUUCGCGCUUUAGGAAGCAUGUUGUUAGCAUCAUUUGAUUAUGACGAAAUGUGAGAAUUUCACUAAUCUGACAAUAUCAGGAACGCUACAUUCCUCUGUUUGGUCCGCACGGUAAAAUUGUCAUAUAUUACCUAGGAAUACCAGAUUAAUGUGUUUGGUUCGUCAAUGAAAUUUCCAGUAAUUGUAGCAGUGUGCAAUUACUUUCCGACCUCUACUAUAUGUAUAUUUAUAUGCGCCUCAUGCAAGAAACAUCUGUUAACUAUAUAUACAACAUAUUCUUCAAAAUGUUUUUCAAUAGUCAAAAAGUACAAAUCAUUGUUCACAGAAUUAUUGAUGUACCGAAAUUUGCUGAUUAUGUGCAUAUUUUUGCUGAUCUUUUGAUGCAUUUUUUAUGCAGGUGAGGCUUCAGUUGGAGGCUUUACUAGCUGAGAAAUCAAGAUUAGCGCAGGAGAAUGCAAACCUCCUGCGAGAAAAUCAGAGCCUUCACCAGCUGGUUGAGUAUCACCAGCUAACUUCGCAGGAUCUGUCGGCAUCGUAUGAGCAAGUCAUGCAGGGAAUGUGCUUGGAUUUCUCUUCUCCACUCGGGAAAAUAGAGAGUGACUCGGAUGAUAGUGAAAACGGCUAUGAAGAAGAUGGAGUUAUCGAACAGAUAAGUUAACGACGUCCUCGUCUUCUGCAGAUGCACUCUGAACAUCUGCAGUUGUAUCGGUGUUCACCGACCAGCUUCUUUUCGCCAUUGAUGUUUGGCGUUAAUUUUGUUGAUUUCUCACCUAGCGAUGUUCGAUUUCUUUCUUCAGUUUACUACAUUGCUGGGAAUUGUACCCACUUCAGUAUAUAUACCCUCAUGAGCAGCAUCUAUGUUCACUCUGUAAUAACAAACUUCAGGCAGUAACUGCAUAACUACGUAUUUGAAUUUAGAGAUCUCUCUACUUGCUGACUAGUAUCAAAGAUUCAAAGUUUGAUGCACAAUCAGCAAAACUAAGAUUUGAACAGAUUGAACAAUAACUAACGUAACUGUUCUCUGAUAGCUUAAUCUUUCAGAGUAACAGGCAUGAAUAGUUCAAAACGUCUACCGUGAUUGGUUGAGCUUGUUGUAGGGUGGCAUAACUGUUUCUAUCUCUAUCCCUAUCAUCGUCGGAAUAGAUUUUGAUUUUGGCGUAAACUGGAGUUUCUGGAAAUUAGGAAGGCGACAAGAUGCACUCGCAUGAGUAGAAAGGUAAAACGCGCCUCGAAUGCAUUGACACCCAGCUGUAGGAAACACUGUUCGAAUUGGAGUUUACUGUGUUCGAUUCUGUAACUUGACAGUAAAACAUCAGUUGAGAAUCUAUUCAAUCAGUUCAUGUAUUAAGAAGCUUUGAGAGGAAACUUUCGAGGCUGAACUCAGAUCAAACAGUGCUGUUUCGCAAAGUUAAGUCAGUUGAUGUUUGAGACAGAUUUUUCCUUAAAAUUUUAUUGUUUGGCGGUGAUUAAACAGUGUGUAACUGUGUUCUGACAUGUUGCUCCUUUCUUUCGUAGUUCUUGUAACAAUGACUUUGUAAUUUUCCAGGAAGUGGUUGUGUUUCAGCACCUUGGAAUGUCAUAUUUCUGAUAUUCGGGACGGGACUCAUUUAAAGAUUGCAUAUGGCUGGAACUUUGUAGAUUCUUACAAUUACGUCUCAAAUCCAAUGUAGCUAAUUAAAUACCAACAUGUCACUAAUGUGAAACUGAUGUAACAGUAAUGUGAUUGACAACACAACGAUAAUUAAGCCAUUAUAUCACUUCCAUGUCAACGACGCAUCAGCGUUUACUCAACUAAAUAAACUGCACUGUGGAACUCAAUUGCAACAAUUUAUACAAUUCGAGAUAAAAAUUUGCAACAAAUUAAAAUUUAAGUACUAAUAUGUUAUUGGCGCCAUAGAUUGACCAAAAAUGUAAUUAAGCCAUUGGAGAUUGAAUACCAAAGAAGCUUUACAUGCUACAUAUCUUGUUGUUCAAAACUGGCUAGCAAAUUCAAAACAUUUUGCGGGCUUUGCUCUCACCCGACUCGCGAAUGACCUCGGAGUAAGAACUUUGAAUAUGACAUGAUAAACACAACCAGCAUGACAAUAACAGUUUGAAAUCUGGCCAUCACUAGAAAUUGUUACAAGCAAUACUACUACUUACAACUGUUACAAUUGGACACGAACUCAGAAAUUUGAAACUUGUUAUAUUCACCACAGAUGACAAAACAACACAUAACGCCACAAAAUGGAGUAAACACCGUAAAGGGAAAAAAGAAAUGGUCACUGAGAAAGCAAAACCUUGUACAUAAUUCGACACUCCUUCUCAUAUAUUUGGGGACAACACAAAAAAAAAAAAAGAAGACCAAAUAACUUUACCGAGCCAUAAAAAACUGGCAUCUCUGAAAGAAACGAAGGAUAUGCACAAUAAAGGUAAAAAAAAUUUACAUGGGUCGAAGAGCUAUAUACUUCUCUAUGGUGUCAAUGCCAAUUUGGAUACUGCAUCUGGCUAAUCUUAUCUAUAUCGCACUAAUCUGAUAUGAGUUAUUAAAGGAAAAUGAUCAAAGAAUGGCCAAAGCAAGAAAAGCAUACGCCAAAAUGGCAGGCUUGAAGCAGUUUAGAUGAGAUUGGGAUGAAUGGCUAAGAGAAGGUGUCAACUGUGUAGUGAUUUCGGUACCGUUUCCGCUCUCCCUUGUGGCCUCGGGCGUAUAACUUUUCGGUAGAGGAGAGAGAACAGAAGAAUUAUGUGAAUUCACGGUGAGGGAACUUGACUCUUCCACAUCGUAGCCUGAAGUUGAAAAAGAAGAAAAAAAAAGAAAAGGUCAUGCAUUACCCAAUAAUCUUCAUCGUAGUUGCAGAAGUUGCUUGAAAAAUGUUACUUACAGUUGAAGGGUUUCCAACCAAGUAUCUUUCUUUCUCGAUCAAAGACGACACGAAGACCAGUCAUGAAAUUUUCUGCACAUCAUUAAAUCUAUGUAUAAGCUGAGAAGUAAAAUGAAUCAUAAACAACAAUACCAAAAAUACACUAAUAAUAAUAAUAAUAAUAAUAAUAAUAAUAAUCUUCUCCCCGAAGAAACAAGAGAAUAUUAAUUAAUAGUCCAAAGAACUCAUCUGCAUAAUCGAUAUGAGUGAAAUUUGAAACUGCAAAGCACGAAGUUAAUAUGAUAAUUCAAGUCUACUUAGGCUUAGCUUGGGAACACGUUGCCCAAAACACUAGCUUUGAUGCUUUGGAGUUCAAGAAAAUCCAAAAGUCCCUUAGAGAUUACGUUUCGGAUGCUCUGAAAUGCUGGGGAAACUGCCACCAAAGAAGAAUCCGCCAAGUGCUUCCCCGGAAAUGGUGGCCAAAUCCAACCGCCAAUUCAUAACAAUGGAGGAAGCACUUUUCAAUCUUCUGGGCCCUCUAAGAAAGCAAAUCAGGUGCAUAUGAUAUGGAUUUAUCCAUAACAUCUAAAAUAACUUGGUCCAGCGGCAUGGUCAUAGGUUAAGAAAAACAACGUAAUAGUUCUAUUAUCAUAUGAAUGACUGAUUGUACGUAAAAUCCAAAAAAUUCAGUAAGGUUUUGUAUGAAUUAACACUGCUGAACUUAGAAAAGACUUACGUCCAAUGAUAUUCAACUUGUUGCUCCUCACAACGGCCAAACAAUAAAUGUACUCAUGUUGCUGCAUGUGUUGAGAGGGGGGGAAAAAAAGAAGAGUUUUGUUAACUAAUGAGGACUUCAGAAGCUUCAGAGUAUAAAUUAAAUGUGGGCAGAGUCUUACCUGUAUGGAGAUGACAAUACCUGGUUCACUGACAGGAAAGAGGCUUCCACCUUCUGUUGUGAAACUAAGAUUAGGAGCAUGAAAUUUGGUAUCAUUUGAACUGCGAAAAAACUCAGUCAUAUUAGAUAUAUACUUACUGAAUAAAUCAUAGGAAAUAAAUUUUCACUAUAAAGAAGUUGAAAGAAAGAGAAGAAUAACCUCAUGGAAUAACAGUACUCAAAAGGGAUUCUAGAAUCAGUAGCAUAUCGGUUUAGUUGCACCUGUGCAUCGAACUGGAAAAGGAAAACAAACAAAAACUGUUGAAUCAGCACUGUAUCGGUGUUUCCAAUACUGCCAGAUAAAGUUUCAUCACUUGAUUCACUUACAGUCUCAGUUAAAAAUGAGUAAGCUGGAUCUGCCAAGUAUGUGAAAGAGGUUCCUGUGUCAAAAAAAGUACUGAUAUCCAAAUUCAGAGAGCUGUUCUCAACACUUAUUCCAGUUAUAGUGAUGUUGUAUGUGGGGCUGCAAACAGAAAAUGCCAAGAAGAAAAAGAAAGAUAGAGCGGUUAGUGAAAACCAACAUAAUAUGUUAUUCUAGCGAGAAAUGAAAAUCGCGACAGAUCGAAAGAGGAUAGAGAAGCCUACUCACUGUAACUGGUUAACAUAAAGUGGGGUCUCUUCCUGGUCUGAGCUGCCUUGGUCUCCAAAACUGAUUCUCCCAAAACCAUCAUGUCCAAAGCACAUGGAAAAGGAAUCAGAUGUGAGGCCUUUGCUUGCUAAAAUGCUGGGGACUGAUAUCUUUUCCAUACCCAGUCCUAAUAGACCAUUAGGAGCCGCGGCAUCCAGGAAAGAGCCAGUCUGAACCUGCCCACAACUGCAGAAACCAACCAACAUUUAAUAACAUCCAAAUCUAGAGGAUAAGGCGGGCAGAUAACAAGUGAAGUGACAACAGUUACAACUCUGGCUAAACUUUUUUAGGAAGAUUUUCAUUACCCAAACACUAUUUGUGCCUCAACAAUUUCAGGACGAGCAUCCUCUGUUGUCAAGUACAAAACAUCCUCAACAAGAAAACCGGAAGACGAGGUGCCAGCGGAGACAUAGGUGAUCUUAUAUGGACAUUGCGUUGUCUCAGAGCACUCAUUUUGAUGUUCACAAAAAUCGUUGCCACAAGGCACCCUUUGGCUUGUCAAUGACAUAUUAGGACUAUAGAAGCUAGACUCAAAUUCCUGCCAUUGGAAAGUGAUAUCAGACGAUCUGCAUGGUUUUCUAGGCAAAAUGUUAAGCAUAAGUUACUAGUAUUAUUACAAAUACAACUCAACAAAUUGUUGAGUCAAAAGGCAAAGGGUUAAUGCACAAUAGCACAUUUGACAACAUACAAAUGUAACAAAGAGAAAAAGGAUAGCAAGCUUUAUACAUUAUACACCUACAGAAAAGACAAUGAAAAUAUGAAUAAGAUUAAUACAUCACGACAAAAAUAAAAGUUACACAAACUAUCACAUAAUCUCACCAGAUAGACAUAUUAACAGGUGUGUAAUGCAAAAUGCAUGUGUCUUUUCUGUGUUUCCUUGGAUAGCAAACAUUUAAAUAAGUAAAAUGAUCUCUCCAGAGUCAAGACCCAAUAAGUUUGUUUACAGAUUGUGGACAGUGUAUUCGUUUCCUUAAUAAGCGAGAAAUUACAAGCCAAAAAUAUUAUGGCUUACUAUUUACCGAACAACAAAAGUAUGCAACAACAUAUAAGAUGGUAAGAAAUAAGUUAAAAAAUAACUUAAAAACCAUAGUGGUUUACCUAUGGUUAACCUAUAUUACUUAAAUUUUGGUUAUGAUCAACCUAUCUGACUGGAAUUAAGGCAAAGGCCCCCUUAUAGUUGAGUUAGAAGAGACACAAACAAAAACAGAAGUGAUAUGGAAAAUAAAGCCACACAAUAAUUUGAGAGAUAUCCGGUGUAAUAUCAUUCAAAGUUUUGAUACUCUCAAUUCAAAUCACUAUUUUAUCUCUUUCAGGCUAAAGAGAAUGCCUUAAAUUUGCUCAAGAAUUCACUGUUUUAAGGGAUUUAUGUUUUUUUACUAUUUGAAUGCUGUUAUUUACUAUUUGAAUGCUGUUAUAAACUGUGCAGUAUGAUUUUCGUAAUCUAAUCAGCCAACAACCCUCACCACUAGCCCUACUUCGAUUAGGAAUUUCAGUUAUACCUGCUGUUCGCUCCUUGUUAAUUACCCACUUACCCUAAUUUUCACAGAUCCCCUGUUCUGCCAGUCCCCUUUUGAACCUUUUAACACCCUAGUUUGUUACAGUCUACCUAGCAAUAAUUAUCACAUUAGUUUAAUAUUCCAUUCUUUGCAAGAGCUUUCUUGUUAAUACUAGUAUAGUAACCCGUGCGAUGCGACGGAUAAAUAAUUGAAAAAAAAAAUAAAAACGAUGACAAAGGAAGAGAAAAAGGCAAUGAAAGAAACGACGUUAAAGGGUGAGAUUCAUCUUGUCGAUAAAGAAAACUAAAAGAAGAUGAAGAAGAACAGUUCGGCUCAAUAUAGAGGUGUGACCCGGUUCGGUUCAAGCCCAAAAAAAAAAGGUUGACCAGAUUCGAUUCAAAUAAAGAAGAGAGAAAUCAGGUUCAUUCCAAGUAAAGAAAGAGAAAAAUAUAUAGAAGACUUGAGCCGGUUCGGAAGAGCCCACACUUAACAAUAACCAAUUCGGUUUAGACAAAGAAAGAGAAAAAUCCAGUCCGAUGCAAGCAAAAAAAGAAGAAAAUAUGUGGAGGAUUUGAGCUGGUUCUAAUUAGAGCCCACACUCAACAAUGAAGGACAUGUUGCCAUGUGGUUCUAAUUAAAGCCCACACUCAACAAUGAAGGACAUGUUGCCAUGUGGCAAAUUUAAGAGGAAUAAUGUAUAGGUAUAGAGGUAUAGAUAGAUAUAGAUAUAGAUUUCAACUCCGUUCGAUAGCAUUGAUCAUGAUUCCUGGGAGUCCAUCUCUGUGUCAACCUAGGUGACCUUCUCAAUAAAGAACUACAUCAAUUUGGCCAAGUACUAAUGACAAAGUAGAAAAAGAGGCACAUCUUUCCAAAAACCAUUUCGUAUUCCGAGAGAUGAUCAAUAGAAACCUACAUUAACAUCAAACUGAAGCAAGAAAAGCAAGAGAAAGAAUCACAUUCAACUGAGAUAAAGAAACCUUACCAAUCCAUAGCUCGCGGAGGAGGUCGGCGCACAGCUACUGCAAUCACAGGGCAGCCAGAACAGAUCGCUGCCGGUGUCGAGUGCCACCAUGAACGUCAGGCUCGGAGUGCCCACCGACACCAUCGCAUAGUACAAACUGCACCCAAAACACAACCACAACCAAUCACUCCAUGAAGAACCCCAGUUCCCCAAAACCCUAGCCAAUCUAAAAUCCUUGCACGUAAAAGAAUCAAGGAAGGAGGAGGGAAGGGCCUUACAAUCCAAGGGAGCUGACCUUAAUGGUGGCGUUGCCCUCGGAGAAAGUGACGGCGGGGGCGGCGCCGCCGCCACCACCACCACCAUCAGCCUUAUUCUGGCGUCUUCGCCCGUCUUACCACCUUCUGCGCCUGCCGCCUCCGUUGCCUCACGCCUCGACUCCACCCACCGUCUCACCGGCGCGGAGAACCGGUGGUGCAACCCUAACCCUAACCUCCCGCCACCACCGCCGCCGCCGCCGCCGCCGCCCUUGCCGCCGCCGCUCGCGGCAAUGAAGAAGGAGAGAGCGGUGAGGACGAGGAAGAAGGGAGAGAGGAGAGAGGCCAUAGGGAUUGGGGGUAGAAGGGGAUCAAGAGAGGUGAAACCCUAGAAGAAGAGGCAUCUAGGGUUAGGGUUUACAAGAAUUCGUCGUCGUCGUCGUCGUCGUCGUCGUCGUCGUCGGGAUUUCGCCGCUCUUUCCUUUUCCCCCCAAAUUUCUCAGAAAAUUGGUUCGAAAUUUUACACUUGUAAGGGAGAGAGUCUUAAAUAGUACUAAUAAUAAUUUAUUAAUAAUAAUUUAUUACUAUUAUUAUCAAUUAUUUAUUAUUAUUAUUAUUUAUUAUGAUGAUGAUGAUUAUUAUUAAGAUGGAGAGACGUAGACGAGUGUCCGCGGAGGUUGUGGUGGUGGUCGGUGGGCGCUUUCUUAAUAAAUAAAGGGAAAACUUCAAAAACCCCCCCUGUGGUUUCAUGCAUUCUCACUUUCAUACCCUGUGGUUUAAAACGUAUCAAUUUGCCCCCCUGUGGUUUCAUUUUUUUCUUUUUGUUAUCAAUUUUAUUAUUUUUUUUUCUUAAAUCAGUAACAAAAUUAAAAUUAAAGGAUACUAAAGUGAAUAUUCGAUAAACAUAGAUGGUUAUCUGAAGUUUUUUGUAUAUAAUUUAACGAAAUAUUAACGAAAAAGCUUCUGAAAAGAUAAAAACGAAACAACAGGGGAGCAAAUUGAUACGUUUUAAACCACAGGGUACUAAAGUGAGAAUGCAUGAAACCACAGGGGGGGUUUUUGAAGUUUUCCCAUAAAUAAAAGAUGGAAUUGUGGGGCUCACGGGGAGCAAAACGCAACAAAACCCCUAAUCUUUAUCACUUUUGCACAAAACCUUCUAAUUUUUUUUUUACUUUUAUAAAUGUGCACUUCAUGCACUUUAUUAAAUAGUUAAGUAGUUUUUGUUCUCAAUUAAAGUCAUUUAUUAGAACAGUCAACGAGCCGAACAAGUGCCAGUUGGGGCUAGCUCAAUUAAUAUCAAGUUAAAAAUUCAGCUCAUGUACAGUUUAUUUAUUAACGAAAUGAAUACGAGCUCGCUAGCGAAUAAUAAGUUAAAUUAUCAGUCUUAUUAUUGGAUGAAAAGUUAGAAACAUAUUAGAAAAUUAGAAUCUUAAUCAAAUAAAUAGAAUUCACAAAAUGUAGGUCUCUUUAUAUUUGGAUCGCCCUAAAAUUCAAAUAGUAAAAAAUUAUAUUACAUUUUAUUAUAUAUAUAUAUAAAAUAAAUUUCGAGCUAUAUGGAACUGAACAUAAUUAACGUGACCUCAGCUUGUAUUUGGCUCGUUUAUUACACCAGUGAUUGAUCUAAUGCUCAUAUUAAGUCGAUUGCCAACCCUAUUAUUAAUUACACAAACUUUGAAAUACAAAAAAGUAAUCUCUACAUUUUAUUCUAGUAUAUGAAAAAAAUAUAAAAAUUGAGGAUGAAUUAAUUCUAUUUUUUUCAUCGUGAUGCUUAAAAAUUAGAAUUUUUUGUAUUUUGAGGUUUCACAAAUAAAACUAGAUUAAUUAACGAGUAAUAAGUUAAUAGAACUAAUAAAUUUAAUAAAAAUUUGAAUUUAACUAAAUAUAAAAAGAUUCAAAUUAAAAAAAAAAAUAGAAGUUGAGAAAUCUCAUUCAAAGCAAAAAUACUUAUAAGGAGUUCAUUUCAAAAAUAGUGAAGGACCAGCGCGUUGCGACGGAACGACUUCAUAGAAAUAAAUAAAUAAAUAAAUAAAUUUAAAAAUAACAAAACAAAGAGUUAAAAAAUUAUAUAAAAUAAACAACUGAAAAAUAAACAACUAAUUAAAAUUUGAGAAUAAAAAUGUCACAUAUCUCAUAAUUUAAAUCAUAAUACAUUAAAAUGUAGGGAUUAAAGUGUUAUUCGUCUUAUAUUUUUAAGGACGAAAGUGUAAAUCCAAUCGUCCAAUUUUUUUUAUCCAACUUUUUAUAUGUUAGAUUUGAGCAAGUCAACGAUAUUUUGACAAUUCUCGCAAUUAAAUUUUAUAAAAUAUAAAAUUAAUUUAAACUCUAUCAAUCUUUUUUUAUUUUUUAAUGUAUAAUCUAGAUAUAUCUAAAUGCUCAAUAUUGUAAAUUUAAAAUUUAUAUUUAAUACAAAUAAUAUAAACUAUUUAAAAUUUAUUUAUAUAUUUUAAAUUUUUAUAGUACAAAAUAAAAAAAUAGAUUAGACUUAAAAAACAUUAUAAAUUUUCUUCUAUGUACAUGAACAAAAAAAAAAAAAUUGAAAUCAGAGGAAAAAAAAAAAAAAACCUCCCUCCUCUCUCCCCUGCUGAGUCCCACCCGCACUGGAUCCUUAUUGAAUUUUAAAAAAUAAUAAGUGAGGAAAAAAUUAAGAAGAGAGAGAGAAAUUAUUAUUAUAAUUAUAUAUAAUUUUUAGAAAAAAUAAUUUAUUGUUCUUACAUUUUUUCCUCUAUUCUUCUUUUAUCUAUCUUAUCCUUUAAUUUUUAUUUUUUUUUAACUUUUUUAAUGUUUCAUUUUUAAAUUUUCUUUCUUCUUUUUUAUAUAUUUUUAAUAAUUUUUUUAUUCAGGCUUAAUUAAAAUUUAUAUUUAAUACAAAUAAAUUUAACUUAUUUAAAAAUUAUUUAUAUAUUUUCAAUUUUUAUUAAAAAUAAAUAAAAAUUUAGAUUAAAUGAAAAAAAUUAUAAAUUUUUUUAAUCAUAUAUUAAAGAACAAAUAUAUAAAAAAAUUAAAGAGAAAAAUUAAAGAGACCAAGUUCGAAUCCUAGUUGAUUCACAUUUCUAGCUAAGUUCAUUUCUAAAUGAAAUAAACGAAGCGGUAGCAUGCUAACUAUCUCUCUCAAAAAAAAAAUAUUAAAGACAUAAAAAGAGACAAAAAAAAAAAAAAUCCAUCUCAAUCUCCCUCUCCUCUCCUCUCGGCUGGGCCCCACCCUCUCCUCUCCUCUCCCUCUCCCGCUCCUCUCCCCGCCACCCGGCCCGCCUGCCCGCGCCCCGCGCUCACCCCUGCCCGCGCCUCCACGCUCGCCACCUGUUCGAAAACUGAGAAUUCAUGUAUGUUAUAGAUGUGUCAUAGUGGAGAUGCUCUUUAUACAUUUCUAAUUUUUUUAAAAAAAAAAUUUUAUUUUGAAAAAACUUUAAAAAAUCCCAUGUGGUUUGGCACUUUUUUUUUUCAUUUUAGUACCUUGUGGUUUAAAGUGUAUCAAGUUAGUACUCUGUGGUUUCGCGCUUUCUCACUUUAGUACCUGUGAUUUAAAGUGUAUCAAGUUAGCACUCAGUGAUUUUAUUUUUGUAUCAAGUUAGUACUCAGUGGUUUUAUUUUUGUAUCAAGUUAGUACCCUGUGGUUUUAUUGUUCUCUUAAUGAAAUAUUAAACCACAAGGUACUAAAGUGAGAAAGUGCAAAACCACAGGGUACUAACUUGAUAUACUUUAAACCACAGAGUAUAAAAGUGAGAAAGUGCGAAACCACAGGGUACUAACUUGAUACCACAGGGUACUAAAGUGCGAAAGUGAGAAAGAGUGAAACCAUAAGGGGGUUUUUGAAGUUUUUCCUUUUAUUUUUUUUAUGGUGGAAUGGGUAGAGAGUGUGGAGUACAAAGAGUAGUUGUAUGAUUGGGAUAAGCUCGCUGAUGUCACUUGUGAUGUCACUUUUAGGGUGUAAAAUUAUAAACUAAAAAUUCAAAUAACGUGAAUAAACUAAACUUUUUGUAAUUAAUUAUAUGUUAGCCAUAAUUUUUAACAUUAUAUCAAUCAUGAUUAUAUUUUAAAUAAAAUUAUUUUGCCAAAGACAAAUAAAUCGAAUUGAACGGACCGAAUUAUUUUGGUUUGGUUCAGUUUAAAAGUUUAUACCUUUAAUUCGAUUCAAUUCAAUUUUUCAAAAUACUACAAAAAUCGAACCGAACGGACCGAGGCGGUGCUUUGAUUAGAUUGCGGUACACGCACCUUAGCCAAUGAUGGUGACAACUUAAAAAAAAAAGAAAAUAAAAAAAAAGAAAAAAUAGUUUUAAAUUUUAUUUUGUUGAGAAAUAAAUAACUUAAAAGGCAAGAUCGAAAGUAAUUCACCAUUCACUCCUAUGAUUAUUAUAUAAAAAUUUUAUUUACAAAAUAAAAAAAAAGGCAAUAAAUUCAAACAGUAUCUAAAACUGUAAAUUUUUAUAAUUUGUUUACUAAGCUUUACCAAAAAUAGUUUAAUCAACCCUCUUCUGAAGUGAAGUUACUUAUUAAGUAGUCAUUUUAAUCGUACGUCCUGUAUAUGAUCUUGUAAAAUUUUAAAAUAUAAAAAAAAAAACAUCUGUUUUUCUAUAAUUAAUAAAAUUAAGCAUCAAAACUUAAGUUUUAUUUAACAAUCUUCAAUUGCGCGAAAACCAAAUGAAUUAAAUGCCUAUUUUUCAAAAAGUAUUUGGAUAAUUGUAAGAGCUUGUAAAUAAUUUGACUUUUAUGAGAUUGGAUGUUGUUAAGAAAAACUAAUAGAAUUAUGGAUUAAGUGGUUGUUAAAAAUAGUUAAAAAAAUUAUAUAAGUUCAUUUUUAUUUUGACUUUUAAAGUUCAAAUAAUGAUUUAUAUUUCCAUAUUGUUCAGGGAUCUCACAUGUAUAUAAUUUCUUUUCUUUUCUUUUCUUUUCUUUUUCUUAAAAAAAAAAUUUGGAAGAACAGAGCAGGGUCAGAGGGGGUCAUACUUUAGUUACCAUAAACAUAAAUAUUGUCAUGAAGCAAGAGUUAAAUAUAAAUAAAUAUCUAUAUUAUUAUAAUGAUUCUUUUUUUAAAAAAAAAUGCAAGAAUAAAGGGCGAAUCUUAGGGAAUGUUUUACUGCAUAUAGUUGUAAUUGCACUGCAAUUAUAACUACCUGCAAUUCCAAAUCCAGUAUUUUGUUUCAUGCAUUUGAGUCUAAUUACUGCAGUUAGAACUGUAUGAGGAGAUCCAACUGGUUCAAACUACGUUCAAAUUUGUCGUAGUUCCAACUCCAAUUGAAGAAUGUAAAUUUAAACCGGAGGUAAACUUACAUCCCUAAUUAUUUUUAAAUAAAAAAAUUUUCUACAUUGGAAGUAAUCACACCAACAAAAAAUUAUAAAGUUAUAAAAGUUUUUAAAUACACUUCUCAAUAAUAUGCAAUCAAACAUAUAAUUUAUAGUUGCAACGCCUUCUACUAUAUCCAACCAAACAAAAUAUAUAUAGUUACGACUAUUAUAUUUCUAACAGUAUUCAUCUCUAACUAUACUGUGUUUCUAAUUACAUUCAACAAAACGGCUCCUUAGUGUGGUUCAUUGAAAGGAAGAGAAUUAAAAAAUACACAAUUUGAAGUUUUGAAACUCAGGUAUCCAAUUGACCGUCCCUAGAGCAAGUGGCAAAGGACUUGAUGGUUGGUAUCGGAGUUCCCAAGUUCGAAUCCUAGUUGAUUUAUAUUUCAAUGAAAUAAACGAAGCAGAUAGCGUGCUAUCUAUCUCUCUCUCAAAAAAAAAGAGAAAAAGAAACUCAAGUAUCCACAAGGCCACUAUCCAAAGUCAAAUGGUUAAUUCAUAUUAACCUAAUCUAAGGGAAGCAUUUAGUUCUUCUAAAAAGCAUGCAAAACUAUUUUGCAAUAAAAGAAAAAAAGUUAUCAACCGUUCUUAGCGCAAGUCGCAAAGAGUUUGGUGAUUGGUAUCCGAGAUGUCAAGUUCGAAUCUUAGUUGAUUGACAUUUUUAGCUAAGUUUAUUUUUAAAUGAAAUAAAUGAAGCGGGUAGCAUGCUACCUAUCUCUCAAAAAAAAAUAAUAAUAAAAGAAAAAAGUUUUCUACAGAAAACACUCUUUUCCACAAUAUUCAUUUUCUGAAUGAAUAAUUCAAAAAAUAAAAAUAUUACCUUUCCAUAAAAUUUGAAAAAAAAAAAAAAAAUCUAGAGAACUUACUUUUCCUAUAAACCAAACGAACGAAAAAUAUUUUUCCAGUCAGAAAAUUAUUUCUCCGAAUCUUCUCCAGAAACCAAAACACCUACACUCAAACAAAUUUUGUGUUACAAUGGUUAGAUUACAUUUAAAAGUGAAUCAUAUCAGCAAAAGAGAACACAUUCAACAAUGAGUUGUAAUCUUAUAAAAUUCCUUUGUUUCCCCCCCUUUAUUUUGGCUAAUUUAUCAUCUGAAACAAGCAGCAAAAACUCAUCUGCAAAGUAGAUCUUACAAACUGAAUCAAAUGUUUCUGCUCUACACAAGCACUGAUUCAGCUUACUUGUUGCUUUUGUACCAAAACCUAAGCAUGGAAACUCAAACAUUUUCGCCUUCGACGGUUUUAUUCCCCAGCAACUGAUCGAGAAUGCUUCUCCAGUUCUUGUAAUCCAGCGGCUCGCCGGAGUCCUGGAGCUGCAUUCCGUUGACAAAGAAGAAAGGAGUUCCAGUCACGCCUCGCGAGCACCCGUACUGCGAAUCAGAACACGUCGUAAUGCAACUAAGACGCGUUGGAUUUGGAAUUGAAAAUGAUGUGAUGAGAAGUACUAAAGUAGCUGUUUCGCACCUUGAAGGAAAUUCUCGCGGCAUUAUCAGUCUGCGAAUCGUUGAAACCUGAUUUUAGCGCAGGCAGCGAGUUUUCACCGACGACAGUCGCUGCCAGAUUCACGAAAUCGCCAGUUAUCGAAGCCCUCGACAGUCUGUAAGUCGGUGCAUUGUAGUACUUCUCCUGCGCGACGCGGUCGUACGAUAACAGAAAAAAUGGCGAAAUUUGCACUAAUCAAAUCAUAAAACAGGAAAAAAGAGGGGAAAAAAAAAAUCUGAUACUAAUGGCUAUACAAACAUGAUAAGAAUUAUGAACAGGGCAAAAACAACUGCAGUUAUUUGAACUACCUGAUACUUGAAGAAGAGCUCUAGCAAGGGAAAUGUUGAGGAUGCAUUUAGCUUGUUUGCGAUGUGAAGCGAACGGCACGCCGUAAACGCGUUGCUGUGGUAACUGCAUAUUGCAUCCAAACAUAAUCUUUUAUCUCGAAGAACAAAAAAAACAGGUUUCUGAAACGCGAUAAGAACAUAUCAAAUGCUAGCUAACAAAAGUCUCUGCCUUUUUCUGCAGUAGUGAAAUGUUAAUAAAUGCAAUCUACUGAUCUGAAAAUCUUAAAAAUAAGAGACGAGGGAGAAUCGAGGGAUGUUUAGAUCUUCGAUUCGGAAAAAUUGUUUAGUUAACUUAUUUGAUCUGCAUUGCAUCUGUAACAUUAAGUUCAUGUAGAAAUCUUAAUACUUAAAGGGGCUGCAACACCUGCACAAAUUGCAGAAUGCGGGAAUCGAACUCUUGGCGUGCUCUUAUAUCACUUGUUUGAUCGUUGGCGCUGAUCAUAAUUUCUAAAACUUAGGCUGUUAGAGGGGAAGUAACCAAUUCACUUAAAACGUAUAGACACAGUACCCACUUGACCAUGAUUUGGCCCAAUUUGGCCUCCCCGCCAACUUGAUAUUCCGCGACUUGUUAUAAAAAUUUUCCUCUCAACUAAAGCAAGCUAAAUGUAUGAAAGCACAAUGGAUAGAAAAGAAGGAAGGAUAGGCGAGGAACAAUAGAUACCUGCUAAUGUUUCUUAAAUAGAAAGAUCAAAAUUUGAAACUAGAGAUAAAAGAAGGAACAUCCCACAAAAAUGAAUAAUACAAAGAGUCAUAUAAUGAAAGAGUAAACAAAAUUUUAUUGGUGUUAGGAUAAGAAAAGUACAAGUGAACAGAGAACAAUAGAGCAUUAAAAGGACAGGAACUGCAGAAUAUUCCUAAUCUUAUAGCAGACACAUUGUUGCGAAUCGGAAUAUAAAGAGGAAACGAAAAUCGCAAAAGAAUCUUAUGCCAUUCGUCCUAAUGGUGUUUGGAUUCGAGAUAUUUUGAUAGGUCAAAAACGUGGAAUAAUUAAAUAUGAGAAAAUUAAAUAAAGUUAGGGAGCUGGUGGGACUCGAAGUCAGAACCUGCUGUGCUGAUAUAAUGUUAAAUUAAUGUAAACAAAAAUUGUUAUUUUCUUCAAAAAUUAAGCUACUAGAGAAUAAUAUUUUUAAUUUAUAUAUUUUAUAUAUUCGACAAACAUGGCCACAUAAAGCAGAAGCAUAACAAAACUAGUUCACUCUAAAAGGAAAAAUCAAAAUAAAGAAAGAAAACAAAAUACAGUAUAUUAAGUUUCUUAUGGAUUGUGAAAUACUGAAGUACCGUUUUCUAUCAACUUAAAUUUUUACAGAAACGUAGUUGUUUAAGUCAAGUUUUGAGUCUUCGGCAUGUGACAUGAUAGUUUCAUAGUUCUCUACCACUCCAAAUCACAAGAACCUGUAUGGAAAAUCGGAACGAAAUCACAUAUGCAUAAAUUAAUCAAAAAAUAUAAAAAAAAAUUUCACUUAAAUUUUACCAGAAUUAUAAUUCAUAAUGUGAAUUUUAAAAUAUUAGAAUUUACCGACUAAAAGUCAAAGCGCAUUCGAUUCUCACAAAGUUUAGAUCGUUCUGAUGCAUUUCUUUUCAUAGAAAAGUAAUCUAUAACUAAGCUAGAGAAAGAGAGAGAGAGAUCAAGGCGACUCACGGAAGAGGAAAGGGAUGGGCGACGACGGCGACGCGGGCGGAGGAAUAGUAGCUUAUCGCCUGCUUCAGCGGCGGCCACGAGUCGCGGCUAUCGGGGCAAAGAGGAUCGAGAAAAGCCUCGACGACCACCGACCGGCCCCAGACCGGAGCUUUUCUAUACACGAAUCCGUCGAUCCUCGCAGGAAUCGGAAGCUGCGCCUCCGAGAACCCGAACCACAAGGAGAAGAAGAAUAAUGAAAAUAAGAAUAAAACGCACGACAUUGCAUUGAAAGCUGAUACUUUCUCCAUCUCCUCUUUUUUUUUUUUCUCUCUCUUUGUUGUAAGUUGCACUUAGACUAUACUAUAUAUAGUAGAGAAAAAAGAGAGAGAGAUGAAAAGCAGAGGAAAAGAGAGAGGGGGAGUGGAAAGUCAGAGAGAGAAGGAUGGCGGCAAUUUCUGAAGGAAUCUCAGACGGUUUGGGAACGGAAAAGAGUGCAGUCUGUUGUGGAUGUAGGCAAAUGCGUUGACAGGCUUCCCAAUUGAAUCUAGACACGUUUGUGGUUACUAGGAAGGAAAGUGAUGCAAUGACAUCAACAGCUAUCCAUAAAAUCAAUUAUGUUAAUCUAUUGAGAUUGCAGGAGAUUACGUCGCGUACAGUAAAAAAAAUUAUGAUAGCAAAAUAUUUUAUUUAUGUUUUUUACGUAAGUAAUAGCGCGUUUCGUAUUUCAAAAUUAGUCCACUAUGAUAUAUUUUCUAUUCUUCCACCAAAAAAUGAAGAAAAUUAUCUUUAUAUAUUUUCGCCCCAGCUUUGCUUUGCCUACUAUCAUUAUAUGGAUCUUAAAAAUUUUAAAAAUACUAAUUGUAAUGCUCAUAUAUAAUUUAUCAAAUUUAGAUGCUAUUUAUUAAAUAAUUUUUAAAAAAAUUUUAUGGGGACUUUUAUUUAUAUACUCCUUAGUACUAUUCAAAAUUUUCAAAAUUAUCUCUCACUUUCUAAAAUACCUUUAUAAAAUAAAUAUUUAUGGAAACUAAAGUAAGCAAUAUUGGAGAUGCAAUUGAUCCAGGUUGGUAUAGCUUCCGCCCCUUUUCGCUCCAAAUGGGACGGCAAGUAGCAAUCAAAACUAUAGAAAAAUGUAGCAUGUCUUGAAUCUUAAUAGAGCAUAAAGCGAGAGAGUCCUUGUUUUUUUUCUGAUCCGUCUCGAUCUGCUAAAAAUGUAUUCCUAUCUUGAUCAGUUCCAAAUGAAGCCGUAAGUGAGGAUAAAAAUAGAGUUAAAAUUAAUUCAUCCUGAAUCCCCCGACCCGAUAAGAAUUAGAGUAGGAGGUGGGGGAUCCCUCCCGGCCCGGAUCCGCCUCAUUUGCAUUACUAUGCAGAAUUUGGUUGCCAGAAAAAGUUAUUGUGUACACAAUACAAAAUUUAACUCAUGAGCUUUAAAGUUAAAAAACUCUUACAUAUUUUUUUUGAAAAAAAACAUAAAAUCGUGGACACCUUCUCUGACGCUGAUUAUUAAGAUUAUUUAAUACCUUAGUAAUAAAUUUUCAAAUAUUACGAUUUUUUAUAUAUACGCCUUUAGUUAAUGUAUAUUAUAGAGUAGAGCUCCUAUGCUUGGAUAUCUGUUUAAUUGCACAAAAUUGCAACCGCACUGCAGUUUCAACUGCAUUCAAAUCUAAAUAUGAUGUUGGUUUGGUAUACUUGAAUCCAAUUUUUGCAGUUGAAGCUGUAAAAAAGUUUUAACUAUAACAAUUGAAACUAUACCCAAAUUGUUCAUAAUUUGGACUAUAAUAGUUGGAGAAAAUAAAGCUUACCUAUUUAAUCACCUAAUCACUACAUUUUUCAAUUGAAUAUGUGUUUGUUUCAUUGACAGUGGAUAGAUGUAAAGUGGUUUCCGGUCGUAAAUAUCUAGUUUCAUUUUUUAAUGGGAAAACUUCAAAAACCUCCCCUGUGGUUUCCAACUUUCUCACUUUAGUACCCCGUGAUUUAAAGUGUAUCAAUUUGCCCUCCUGUGGUUUUGUUUUUAUUUUUUCUAUAGUUUUUUUCUUAAUAUUUCGUUAAAUUAUAUGCAAAAAAACAUCAGUUAUCCAUCUAGAUUUACCGAAUAUUUACUUUAGUACUCUUUAAUUUUUAAUUUUGUUGCUGAUUUGAGAAAAAAAAAUAAUAAAAUUGAUAAAAAAAAGAGAAAAACGAAACCACAGGGGGGCAAAUUGAUACACUUUAAACCACAGGGUACUAAAGUGAGAAAGCUGAAAACCACAGGGGGGGUUUUUGAAGUUAUCCCUUUUUUAAUUCACCGUAACUUUAUCUUUAGUAGAAAUCCAAACUCUCCAAAAUAUCAUAAUUAACUUCGGCCUAUCCCUGCAGAAAUAAAUUAUAUGAAAAAAUUAAAAUAUUAACUCAUCUCUCACACCUCACGCUUUUACACUAUUAACUUCAGGUUCACAGCUAUACAAACAAAUAUCAAAAGAGAAGGCAUUGUUCUCCUGAAUUUUACUCAAAAAUCUACUUCAAAUCAAACAAAAGACACAUUUAUAACUACUGUAUUUAUAACUACAUGCAUAUAUAAUUAUAAUAUAUUUGUAAUUACAUCUGACCAAACUGCUCAAAGGUACAAGUGCGGUUCAUAUAAUGUACAAAUAGACCGGGUGCGGGCAAUAAUUUCUGUAGCCACUGAUCUUGUUGGUGGAAGCCAACGCAGUAGUGCACACAUCAACUCUAAAAUACUCUUUAGCAUCUUGCAAGUUGGAAGAGUGUGGAUAUUUUCUAUUCAGAUCCGGAUAAUAGCGGAUACGGACACGGAUAAUUUUGGAUAAUAUCCAAUAAUUCGGAACCAUUCUCACCCCUAUUAAAAUGUGUAGAUACCUCCUCAACUUUUAUCAGUUUUGAAAUGAUCCUGUAAACAUUUUUAUUUGAUUUAUACUCUCUCUGCUUAGUAUCCUUUGAUUUAUCUCUAUGUAUUAGUAAUUUUAAAGAUUCCAUUAGAAACAUAGAAUCAAACGUCCAUAAUAAUGGCACGUAACUUUCUUUUUGACUAAAGUAAUUUUUGAUCUUGUGCAUCUACCGUAAGUGUUUAUUUUGAUUAUAAUAGAAUUUUCAAAAUAGUUAGAAACCGGAAAAAAUAGCCCAUAGGGUACUUAAAUCCAAAACCAAUCAAAAUUAUUCAUUACCCGCGUGACCUAAAACAAGAGACAACCCAAACUCUGAGACUCAACCUCAAAUCCGAACCAAAUAGGAAUGGAAACGGGGCGGAACCGGGGCAGAAGGGUCUCCCACCUUUCGCUCUAUUUCUUAUCGGAUCGGGAGAAUUCGGGACGGACAGAUCAACUUUAAUCAUAUUGUUGGUCCUCACCGCUCCAUUUGAGAUGGAUCAGAGAAGAAGCAGAUGUUUUGGUGAAUUUUUUGUAGAUCGGAAUGGAACGAGUCAAAAGAAAAAUAGUCUCCCGCCUCCCAUUUCAUUUAUUUGAUAGGUCAGGACAAAUUCGCGCCUCCCAUUUCAUUUAUUUGAUAGGUCAGGACAAAUUCGGAAUGAGUUAUAUUUCGGGUGGAAGCUCCACCAACCUAGAUUCAUUUGCAAUCUUAGACCCAAACCUCAAUUUCUGCAAGGAAUUGGGGUCGACCCAAUCCAAACCAAACCCAAACCCGAAUCCGAAUCCAAAUCCAAAUUCAAAUCCAAACCCGACCUACCAUUUUUCUCCUCCCAUUCCCCAAAACCUGCGAGAGCUCCCAACUCUCGCAUACCGCAUACGCCAUUGUUAGGGUUUUGUGUUGGAGAGGGAGAGAGAGAAAGAGAGAGAGAGAGGGGUUUUAGGGUUUGGGGAUGAGCGGGAGCGCGUUCAACGCGUUCAGGGCGCGGGCGCCGAUCGCGUGGAGUCCGCGACUGUACAUAACGCUGGUGCGGGGCCUCCCGGGGACGCGGCGCCUCCACCGCCGCACCCUCGAGGCCAUGCGCCUCCGCUGCUGCAACCGCACCGUCACCCACCGCACCACCCCCUCCCUCCUCGGCAUGCUCAACCAGGUCCCCUUCCUCCCCCUCCCCCUCCCCCUCCCUCUCCCUCUUCUUCGGAUUCCUCGUCGCAAUCGCUGCUGAACGAGCUAGGUAUCUCCGGGGCGAUUGUUGUAGGUGAAGAGAUUGGUGGUGGUGGAGACGGAGGCCAUGCACGUGGCGCGGAAGCAGGAGGAGGAGCAGCGCCGCGCGCUCCGGCCCCCGAUCGUCGUCGCUCACCGCCCCCCGCCGCCGUCCGCUUCCAAUGAGGCCGCGCAGUAGCGGUUGCAUCUUCCUCAUCUGUUUCCGCCAAUCAGAAUGAUAGGUGAUUUUGCGUAUCUUAUCUCCAAAUCAUGGAUAUUCAUGUGCAUUGUUGCUAAUUCUUGGUAGUUUGCUUUGAAUCAACUUUAUUUUGUGCAAGGAUUAGCGUAAUUCACAGCUUGUUUGGGUGUUCAUGGGAUUUUCAUGCACAAAACAUCAAUGUGCAAUCAGUGGUCAGCUAUUUGUGAGAUAUUUGUUAAAAUGCCCCAAAGAGGGAGCUCACGGCGUUUGCAACUGCGCUAGCGAAUUUGUAGAUGCCCAGUAGAAUUAGUAUUGUGGGUAUCAACAGCUUAGAGUUGAAAUUUGGUAAUCCAAACAUCGCUAGUUUUAGACUUUUAGUUGCUGAUUUCCUUAUCAAUUUGAUUUUCGCUAGGUGACGAUUUGAUCGCCCUGCUGCAGUGUAUUCUUCACGUGAUCGUCAUCGGGUGCGACUGCAGUAUGCGGAUACAUAAGGAAAGUAAAAUAAUAUUGUCAUAAGUGUAUCUAGUUGUAUAAAAAUAAAUGAUGGAACUAAAAAUAUAAAGAACUAUAGAUAGAAUUUGAUGUUCAAGUUUGUAAUGUACAUACAAGAUUACAAGCUUAACCAACGAAGAUCUACAUCAAGUGAAUGCCACAAUGUGCUUGCUCAUGUACUAAUUAUAUGACACCUAUCCCUUGGGCCGGCAAGGAACCACAUCCGCAUAUGCAGGGUCAUGGACCUUUUAGAAUGGUCUCAGGUCUACUCGAAUCUUAUGCAAGCUCAUUCGCAACCAUCUUAGACAUGAUCGGUUUCUCUUUAAUCAGAUCUUUGGGAGUUGUGUUUUUGUCACCUUUUGAUUCCAAUAUCUCGAUUACUAAAUCCUGUUGAAUUGAUGCGGACAGUCUGAAUCUUAAAUUUGAAGUACAAGUGACAAGAAAUCAUUAUGAAUGAGCUAGAGAAAUUUGUUUUUUUACCCUGCAAAAAUAGUGCUGGAUAAAUUUGGAUGUGACUCUAAUUCCAACAGGGAAUUUUCAAUUAUGUGCUAUUCACAAUACUUUGGAAAACUACGGAAUUUAUGCUUGAUUUUAUAAUUUUAACAGCUUGUCAAAAUCUCAUGUGCUCAUAUGUUCUCUUUUUUAAGUUUUCUAUAUCUAUUUUUGUUGUAGUGGAGGGUGCCAACAGAUCAACUUCUCUGUUAUUAUUUCCUGUUAGCUUGGAAAUUCAUUUGUUUUAAAAAACAAAGUAGGGGACAAAAGCUGCUACUAAAUUAAUUGUUUUUGGUUGACAAACAAACUUCAUGCAUGCAUAGAUUGUGAAUGAUCUGUCAUCCCAGGUGCACUCCAUCACAUAGAAUUCGAGUGCAAAAGGAUAAAAAAAUGAAAGUGUAACCGAAUGAGGCCCAAGUUUGUGAACUGCAAGUUUCUUACGGAUGCCCAUUUGAAAUUCAGUUUGCAUUCAUCUUCUUCUAAUGAAAUUAAUGUAGAGAUUUUAGAUCGGAUUGCACUAUCGUCGUUUUCUAUUUUAACUUGAGAUUCGCCCUUUUACAUUAUACAUCAGCUAGACAUGAGCUCGUCUUCAUUGUUCCAUUAAUCCUUUUACAAGACAGUGGAUCUAUAUCCAAGUCAUAUAAACUGCUAGGAAAUGAACUCAAUUCGUAUACUUAUGCUGCACGAUAAAUGCAGGUAUGUUAUAUUCUAUCAUGUGUCAACUUAUGUCCAACCUCUUGAAGGAGAACCUGAAAGUUAGAUUGACCCAUUGAAUUAUUCGCUCACUCUGACAUUGCAGAUACUGAAGAUAGUAGUAACUUAUUAAUAAUGCCCCAAUCUGUUAACAAAUUGCUGUAAUUUAUUAGUAGCUCUUAUUUCUUGGUGUUCGGAAGAAGCAAAGCAUCUGCCAUCGCUCUCCAUUUUUGACUUGCAACUACUGCUAUCACUAAGUUAAUGCCUCGAUGCCUAGUUUCUGCAUAAUAUGCUUCAUGGUAUUACAUUUCUACGAAUUCUUGUAUGUUGUUUCGAAACUUUGUUGAUUACACCAAAUUUUCAAUUAUGCACAAGCAUUCAAGGCAGAUAUAGAUAUAAGGGUGCGUUUGGUUCGCGCUAUCUUUUAAAGAUUCCUAGUAAUCCAAUGGGAAUAAAAAAAUAUGACGGUGUUUGGCUAAACGCACUAAGUAAUCUAGUUGGUAAUAUUGGAUUCACUUGGGAAUAAGAUUCAACCCAAAGUACUAAUCUCAUUCCCUUGAGGGAGGGUGGGUAUCCUCAUAUUAAUGGAUUGGGGUAAUCAUAAUAUGUCUAAUCUCUUUCUUUCUUCUUACCCGCCGGCUAGUUGAUAUUAUUUUUCUUUACACUCUAACCUUAUAUCUCUCUCUAAACUUAUUUUUCUCUCUUAAAUUUAACUUUUUUUUCUCUCUCUAAACUAAGCUUUCUCUCUCUCUCUCUCUCUCUUUCUAAAAUUUCAACUCUUUCACUCCCUCUAGUUUCGACUAUAUUUUUCUUUCUAUUUCUUUAAUUAUGCUUUCUCUCUCUAACUUAUACUCUCUCUCCUUUUUUUUAAAAAAAGAUGUUGAAACUUUUGAUAACAUUAUCUAAAAUUAAUUAAAUUAAUUAAUUAAUUAAUUGUAUAUUUUUUGUAAUAUUAAAUAAUAUGGCUAAUUAAUAUUAUCAUGCGAACCAAACGCAGGAAUUCCACAUUCUUAGUAAUAGGAUGAAUAGAAAUAAGAUUCUUGGAUAUCUUUUAUUCCUAGUAAUUUUUCAUAAUGCGAACCAAACGCACCCUAAAUGUCACUGCAUGUGUUCCUUCAUUACUAUUCUUAUGGAUCUUCUUCUUUAUGCAGGGCAUCCGAAGUCCUCUGCAUAUUGGUCUCGCCGCACAACUCAGUUCACGAUUUGCUGUGUAACAUUUCUAUCAGGAUAAAAUAUACAUGAAUUAUGAACAACUCCUUUCCGCUAAAUUCGUCUCAAUCUCACUGUGUUCUGUCAGCAUUUCUGCUGAAUGAUGUAACUUCGUCUUUUUGUGUUUUCUUUUCUUGAACUUGUUUCACUUAUUUAUGCGAUGCCGAUUUUCGGUAACAUUUUCUCGUUGGAAAUGUAAUUGCACUUCAAUCUUGCUUGAUCCUCGUAUGGCCCAGUUAUACGAUACUCGAGAUCUCGAGUUAAAAUUGUUGCCUUUUCUUUCAAGGCCUAUAAGGAUAACUCAUGAUUGUGCCGAUUCAAUCUUAGGCCCUACGAUUUAAGGGCUGUGGUAUGAGGUUGUGCCGAGUCUUUGUCUAACAUGGUGUAGAUACGUUACGUGGAAAAGGUAUAGAAUGCAGUAGUCAUAUUGUUGAUGUGGUGUUCCGAAUCAAUCAAAUUGUUCUUCUAGAGUUCACCCAUCUCAUCAUGGUUUUUAGAGAAUAUUUUUAUUAUACUUUUCUCUCUCAAAAAAAGAGAUACGAUUAGCUAGAUAUACGUAAUGUGUAGUUGCUAUAUAGCAGACUUCCUCCGUUGUAUGCCAUACUAUGCAUACUAUUAUUGGCAAAUAAAUAGUUUCCAAAAGAGCUCGAUAUUAUGUUUCGCUUGAUGUUGAGAAUUUCAAGUGCUCCAAAAGAAGUCAUAAUUCAUAAGCACCGAGUGUGAGAUAAAGAUGGUUGCAAGUGUAGAAGAGGACGCGACGAUGGUGAAAUUGGGUAGCCUUAAAAUAGAUUAAGGGUGCAUUAGGAUUACAGGCAAUCGUACCAGGAUUACUAUGUUUAGUUCAUCCGCUAUGUAAUCUAGUCAUUAAUAUCAUUAAUGUAGCAUUACAAAUCGAGCAGGAUUACAUUAAAAAUAUUAACGAGAAUGAGAUUAUCUUGUAUUACUGAAAGCUGGUAAUGUAAAAUAACAAUUUUACCCCUCUAACUCCCAAAACCCUUUCAUACGUCAUUUAAAAAAAUUUAAUUUAAAAUUUUGAAUUGUCAACUUUUAAAUUUUAAAUUUUUAAUUUAAAUUUUUAAUUUUUAAACUUCAAAUUUAAAUUUUACAUUUUAAAUUUUAGAAUUUAAAUUUUAGAUUUUAAAUUUUAAAUUUUAAAUUUUAAAUUUUAAAUUUUAAAUUUUAAAUUUUAUUUUUAAAUUUUUAAGUNUAUUUUAAUUUUUGAAUUUUAAAUUUAGAUUUUUAAUUUUUAAUUUUUAAUUUUAUAUUUAUAUUUUGAAUUUUAAAUUUAUAAAUUUCAUAUUUAUAUUUUAAAUUAAAAUAUUAAAUUUAUAUUUUUGUUCAAAUUUAAAAUUUAAAAUUUAAAAAAUUAAAUUAUUCAAAAUAAAAUUUAGUAAAAAAAUAUUAUUUGUAAAUAGUAAAAAAAAUGUUUACAAAAUAUCGUUAAGGGCAAUUUUGGAAUAAACUAUAUUUUAUUUUCUAGAUUACUCAAUUUUAUAGACAGAACUAAACAUAUUAAUACUAUAAACACUGGAAUCCAAUAUUAUAUUACUGUAUUAAACCAAACGCACUAAUACAGCAUAACUAGUAAUCUCUUUUAAAAAUCCAAGAUAUCUGAAUAUAUCGAAAUACUCUGUAAUAUUAUAUAACUUAAACCAAACACGUCCGUAAUGUUAGAGACUAUCAGUGCAAAUAAUUUGGGUAGAGGCAUGUUGAUAAAAGAAAUAAAAAUAAAAAUUUACAGAACUUAUUUGAACCAUAAAUUAUUUUAGGCUUAGUUUGUUACUGAGGCCUAUCUAACGCUAUUAGAUAAAAUAGAGUUGAAGAAAAAGCAUAUAACUAUAUGCUAGAAGCGUUCUCCGGUGGAACCGCAGAAAAUAUAUCGUAACCGACUCAUCGCGAUAUGCGGAACGUAAUAUUACAUACGGAAAUAAACAAGGUAUUUUUCUAACGUACUUUCUCACCGCACGUAACGCAAUUCCCCCGCAAUUCCAAAUGAAGCCUUAAUAGUUACUCCCACUUUUAAAAUUUUAAUUUUACUAACAAGCUUUAAAAAUUUUUGAAUCUAGGUCAGUCAAAGUUGUUGAUUGGCUCAUAAUCGAAGGACUUAUUUUUUAAAAAAGUGAGGAGCCCAUGGCUCCCAUAUAAAUUUUAAGAAAAAUUUCAAAUACAACCCUGUGGGUUCGCACUGUCUCACUUUGUUUGUUACCUUUUGUAUCCGUGGUUUUAUUUUUUUUUUUUUAUUAUCUCUUUUAUUAUCUAUUUUGUUAAAUUAGUGACAAAGUGAAUAUUUGAUAAAUCUAAGUGGGAUAUUUGAAAUUUUUUUGUAUAUAAUUAAACGAAAUAUUAAUAGAGGGGCUGAUGAAAAAAAAAAUAAAAAUUACAUGAUAUUAGAUUGAUAUGUUUUAUAUGAUAGAAUACUAAAGUGAAAAAAUAGGAAACCAUAAAAUUGGUUUUAUGUAUAAAGAAUAAAGAAUUCACGUGAAGGUUGGGGAGGAAUGGAACGGUGGAGGAAUCAACCCGUGCCAGAAUUGAUCCGGGUCAGACCAUCUAUCCACCAACCCGUGCCAGAAUUGAUCCGGGUCAGACCAUCUCGUUAGGCCCAUCUCCGGAGGAAUCCGAAUCCGAUACUGGCAACCGGAACUUCUCAUAAAGCGAUCACGACAUUUAUUUAUUAAUUAAUACACCCAUAAAAAUUCCAUACGAAGAAAAGGCCACGUGGUUCGACCACCGUUGGGUUUCUGUAGAGAGUUUAAUGCGAGCAAAACAACAACUUCGCCUUCAUCGGCGCUCCGCGGGGAUGCGCGAUCCAAUCGCACGAUAACGACAAACAAGUGCGGCAGCAAAAAGCAUAAAAAGGGCGACGAGGGGGCUCGGGGCCAUGGCCGCUUCCCGCUUCAAGGUGCUCGGGGCGCUCGCGAUCGCCGCCUCGGGCGGCGCGUCGUGGGCGGCGGCGGAGGCGAGCGGCGGCGGCGGCGGCGGCGGGGGAGGCGGAGGAGACGGAGGUUUGAAGGAGGCGAGGCGGCGGAUCGCCGAUCCGGCGGCGGCGGUGCCGGCGCGAGGGCCGCAGGCGGCGGCGCUGGAGGGGGCGAGCGCGGCGAGCCCCCUCGACGUGCUCGUCGUCGGCGGCGGCGCCACCGGGUGCGGCGUCGCCCUCGACGCCGCCACCCGCGGCCUCCGCGUGGGGCUCGUCGAGCGGGAGGAUUUCUCCUCGGGCACCUCGUCCAGGUCCACCAAGUUGAUCCAUGGCGGUGAGGGCUCCAAACUCUCACUCUCACUCUCUCUGCCUCCCCUCAUCCACUCCAUUUUUUAGAUUAUUUUUGGAGGCUACUUUGUAUCUUUUCCCUCGGAAUCAUCUCUCCUGUGUUCUACACAUAGUGUUUGUUUUAGUUGUACACUACGUAAUUGUUACGGUUAAUUACACUUUUGGUCCUCAAAUUAUUAAGGCGAGUGAUGAUUUCGUCCUUAGAUUUUAAUUUUUUGCAAUUUCUACCUCAAAUUUAAACUUUCUAAAUUGACCUAAUUUAGCUGACUAACUACUGAUAGCAGGCUGAAGGGGAAAUGAUGUGACCUUUUAAUUAUUAUUGCAUUAUCAAUCAUAACAAUGCCACAUCACUUUUAUAUUAGCUACGCGUUAGUAUUUAAUCAAUUAAAUUAGAUUGCGGAAGUAAAUCACAACUGCUUAGAAAAUUUGAAUUAAAAAUUAGAACUUACUAAAAUUUAACUAUCAAAGUGUCACUUGUAGCUUGAAAAGACCAAAAGUGUAAUUUAGCCUAGUUGUUAGAAUUAGUGCUUGAGAUACUUUGUUGUGCUUGAAAAAUAGCUUGCUUGCUGCUAAAUAAUGUGAAACAACUUUUUUUUGUAAAGAUAACUUAUCAGAGAAACAGUAUUUUUGUAUUUUAUAUUCAACCAUUCCUGUUAUGUCUGGGCUUGAGACUUUUUAAUAGGCUUAAGGCGCGGACUUGAAUUAAAUUGGAGAAAAUUUAAGAGCAUGGUGGGAGUUGAACUCAACAUGUUUUGCUCUGAUAUCAUGUUAAAUUGUGUAAAAUAACCGUUAUGUUUCAAAAGCGUUAGCUAGAAUUUGAACUGAUGACCUCUUGCUUUGAUACCGUGUUAAAUAGCGUGAAGCAACCAUUAUUCUCCAAAAGCUUAAGUUAUUAAAGAACAAUGUUUUUAGUAUUUGUAUCCAACACUUGCAUUUGAUCACACCCUGAGAAUGCACCUCUUUCUGCAGUUUGCAUCACUCAUCUUCAAUUCGGAAUCAAAAUUCUUUUGAAGGUAAUGCCAUAUGUGAUUGAAUUAGUAGUAAUAACUUGGAUGUCUAGUUGCCCACCCAAUGUUGCAGUUGAUCCAAACUGCAUACUCAUUGACUAGUAUUACUGCUCUGGAUACCUAGUUUGCAUUUUAUUAGUAUGUCGCUACAGUCAUAAUGCUUUUUGAAUAGGCUACUUUUAAUUCUCUUGCAUUUGUAUGUUCAGGUGUUCGGUACUUGGAGAAGGCAGUGUUUAAUCUUGAUUAUGGGCAGUUGAAACUUGUUUUUCAUGCACUUAGGGAACGCAAACAGGUUAUCGACAAUGCUCCACACUUAUGCCAUGCUUUACCAUGUAUGACACCUUGCUUUGACUGGUUUGAGGCAGUAUACUAUUGGAUGGGUUUAAAGUUAUAUGAUCUCGUUGCUGGUCGAAGGAUGCUACAUUUGUCAAGAUAUUAUUCUGCAAAUGAGUCAAUUGAACUUUUUCCUACCCUGGCCAGAAACGGUCAUAACAAAAGCCUUAAGGGGACGGUGGUUUAUUAUGAUGGACAAAUGAAUGACUCUCGGCUGAAUGUUGGAUUGGCUUGUACUGCUGCAUUAGUAGGUGCAGCUGUACUUAAUCAUGCAGAAGUGAUAUCUUUUAUUAAGGACGAGUUUGGUGAGCGGAUUAUUGGCGCUCGCAUCCGUGAUACACUAUCAGGUAGAAGAAAGCAGGUCUUUCCUCCUCUUCCUGGAAGCUUAGUAUUUACAUGAUAUCAGUUCAUAUGCAGCAUAAAUUGGUCAUAUAUCGAAUGCUGUUCUGUCUUUGCAAAUAAUUAUUUCCUGGAGAAUACCCUGUGUAGAACUUAUCUAGCUCCAUGUAGGCAGAGAUGAUGCAAAUUUAGACUAAAGCUCUCUACAAGAAUGAUCAACAGUUACUAGUACCGGCAAUCAACACUCCUACUGUUUGCUUCUUGUUAACAAACUCUUAGUUGUUGAAUAUAAAAUGGCCAGAACGAAAAUUCAACUUGAAUUGCUGUCCACGUUCUUUCUGUAAUUACCAUUUUUUUGGCUUCUUGAUGCAUAGCAAGAUGUUUACAUUCUUUUCUGGAUUCUAUAUGGUUUUUUUUAUGUAGAUCCAAUUAAAAGAAGUAGAAUCAUUGAUUUUGAAUGGUUAAUUAUGAUUUUGAGCCAUUCAUUCUUUUUAAAUGGUUUGCAUAUAAGUAUGUUAUAAAACUAACAUAUAUACUUACUUUUAGCUAAUUGGGCCAAUUGAUUUUUAUUUGUCAUGCAUCUUAAGAUUCUAAACACUUGUCAAUGGACAUCAGGUAAAGAGUUUGAUACAUUUGCAAAAGUUGUUGUCAAUGCGGCUGGACCAUUUUGUGAUUCAGUAAGGAAAAUGGCUAACAAGGAUGCAAAACCGAUGAUCUCUCCAAGUAGUGGUGUUCAUAUAGUUCUUCCCGACUACUAUUCUCCUGAAGGGAUGGGUCUGAUUGUUCCAAAAACUAAGGAUGGCCGUGUUGUGUUCAUGUUGCCCUGGUUGGGAAGGACAGUGGCAGGGACAACUGAUUCUAACACCGCAAUAACCAUGUUCCCAGAGCCACAUGAAGAUGAAAUACAAUUCAUCCUGGAUGCCAUAUGUGAUUACCUUAAUGUUCAGGUUUGAACUUAGUUCCUUUGUUUUUCCCUUAUUUCUUCACCACUCUCUUCCUCAUGUUUACCUUUUGUUUGUGUAUUUUGUUUUUUUAUGUAAUGAAAUGUAAUUGGCUCCCUGUUUUUGAGUUGCCUUCUCUAUCUACCGUGAUGAUCUAUCUUGUCCCCUGUUCUUGAGUUGCCUUCUCUAUCUAACAUCAUGAUCUACUUGUCAAUUUAUAGUUAAUUUCCAGUGUAGGCUAGCCUACUUAGCCCAAAAACCUUGCCAUUAUGCGGAAAGCCCAAAAACCUUGCCAUUAUGAGGAAACAAAGUUUAGGUAGUACUGUAGUAGUUGAAUGAAAUAAGCUGUCAUAUUUACUCAUCAACAUACAACUACAAGUGUUGUUUCCAGAAGGUCUGAGAAGCAUGCCAUGCAUCGAUCAAUCUCAGAAGUCCUAGGAUGUUUUUAACGCAUUGGUUGUGUUCACAGUAUCGGCUUGCAAUAUUAUCAGAAACUUGUAGAAUUAUAUAUGCUGUGCAGUAGUAGAUGCAAUCUAAUUUAGGUAUAUGCUGCAUAAUGCAUACUAUGCUUUAAUAUUAUAUUAUCAAAUUUUGUGUUGCUUGCAGAGUAUACUAUCUUAUAAGAAAGGAAUUUCCAGAUUAUCAAUAGAACAACAGUCCAUAAUGAUAUAUUGAUGUUGAAAAAAACGGUGAGUGAUCUUUGUGCAUUGUUUUCGGAUGGAACUCUGUAGUUGAAAUAUGUAGACAAGUAAAUUUAAUUCGUUCAUCAUACUAUGAAGCUCUAUACUUUAUUUAGAUUAUCCUUAGCCUUUUUAACAUGUAACCAACUUUGGAUUUGAACUUAUCCCGGAUAACCAGCUAAAACAAUCUUACAUAGAGAUUUUCUAAAUAAUAAAAAUCUCAAAAUAAAUGUAAAUAAAACCAAAUAAGAGGAUAGCUAAAAAUCCUCAUUUAACUAACUAAAAGAGACGAUUAACUAAUCUUAUUACAAUGACGAUGAAGUCAAUCGGUUUAAAUCGAUCAACCUAAUUGGGUCAGGCCAGUUCUACAUCACUUAGUCCUUAGGGAGUGCUAUUAUGGAUUAACACUACUGCUGAUGCUCAAGACCCAAAAUAGCUCUGUCCUUCUAAAUUUAGAUUUGUUUGGCUGGUUAAAGAAAGGAAGCUUGUGGUCUUUUCCUAUUGUUGGGAUAUUAUUUAAUUGUUUACUAUUAUUAAUUGGUUGAUGUUUGCUUGUGACGUCCAUCGAUCCUUUGUUACUCUAUUUCCAUCCCUAGGACUACUUUUAGAGGCCUUCACAAUGCUUACAUCGAGGCACUCUACCCGUUGAGUGGUAGUAUUUUUCUCAUAAGCGAACCUCUCUUUACCUGAUUUUGUUUUGAUAAAGAAGUAGGCAAUUGUGUCGAACAUGUUGAUAUGAGUUUCAACAGCUGGAUUAUAUCUGUUGAACCUUCUCAGUAUUGAAUUGUGCACUAGCCAGCCUUGUACUGGGGCUGAAAUACGCGAUUGAUUUCAGCAUUAAUCUUGUAGGAGCCAAUUCUUUACCUCCCUAUUGUGAAACUUUUAGUUCGGCAUUCCUUCAGACGUCUGUUUAUUAAAGAUUCUCAUAGAAGGGCUUUAGUUUUGUUGGUUUGUAACAUUCUGGGAGUACUCUAUUCCUCUUCCAGAUGGCUAGACUGGCUUUGUGCCGCUUGAGUCAGAAAGGAAGAGAUUUGGUUGAAUAGAGGUAACAUUCUUGGAAUACUUUACAUUCCUCUUCCAGAUGGCAAGGCUGGCUUUGUGCUGCUUGGGUCAGUAGGGGUUUCUUCUGAGGAGGAGAGAUUAGGUAGGAGGCAGGACUAGGUUAGUUAUACUUGUCAGUCUUAUUGGGAGUGAUGGAGAUAUCCAUGAGCUCUGACUCAUAAUCAUCUUCCAUUACCAUAUGGAGAGGGAUUUGUCACCCUUACCCAAUGGGAAUGAGGAUUUUGUGGGAACAUGAAAUUCCCAACUUUCAAGAAUCCUAUUAUGGGAUGCACAUGAUAAUAUUGUUGGAUUCCAGUAAUAAAUGGUAAUUUAAAAAGAUUAUACCAAAUGCCUCCUAACGGUGAUAGUGCAUCCCCAUGAUGUCGCAUGUAAGAGGUUCUUUGAGAGAAGAGAAGCAAUUGCUAGACUUCGUAGAAGAUGUUGGGGAUGUAUUUCUCUUUUUUUGGGCCACACAAUAAAUCAGAAGGUCAAUAGCAUAUCAAAUAAAAUCUAUAGAUACAUUAAAGUGCUUAUUAACGAUAUAAUGUGUCAAUGAUAUGCUGAUUCUUGGAUGUCUGUUGGUCAGGUGAGAUUAUUUUAUUUGAGUUUCUUAUGAGUUGGUCUAAUUUCUUCCAUCACAGUUAUGGGUUAAAUUACUUAUUAACGAAUAACAAUGUAAUGUGUCAAUGAUAUGCUGAUUUUUGGAUGUUCGUUUUGGAAGGUGAGAUUGUUUUAUUCGAGUACCUUAUGAGCUGGUCUAAUUUCUUCCAUCAGCUUAUAGCCUUUUGCCUAUUUCUGUUGAAGUGGUGAACAUCUACAUAAAUGGACAUUUAGCAGCACUAGUUCCAGAACUGCUUUUUCCAAUCAAGAUACUAUUUAGGGCACAUGUAUUAUGUCUAAUGCAAUUAUGUCUAACGCAAUCCAUUAUUUUUCUGUCACUUUUUGUGUAUUUGAAUAUUUGUUUUACAGAUUUUACAUAACAAUGACAUAAUAAUAGUUCAUCUCCCGUGUUGUUUCAUGUUUCUCCCUCUUUGUUGUAGUAUAUGUUCCAUACGUGAAUAUGAGUUACUUGUCUGGCUGAUGGUAAAAGACGGUGUGCCAUGAUGUGCAUUGUAAUUUUGAUUUGUUCUGGUGGAUAUCUCAGGUAAGGCGAUCAGAUGUUCUUUCUGCCUGGAGUGGUAUACGUCCAUUGGCUAUGGACCCAUCGGCAAAGAACACCGAGAGUAUUUCUAGAGAUCAUGUUGUAUCUGAAGAAUAUCCUGGUUUAAUCACAAUUACUGGUGGAAAAUGGACCACUUAUAGAAGGUAAAAAUCUUAAUUAGGGUCUCUUUCAUUUUUUUUUAUUUUAAGUGAUUAUCAUUUUUAGUUGGAACUCUUUCAAAAUCUUAAUUAGGUGGCUCACCUUAUGAUUACAAUAUCAGCAUAAAUUUUGAAGUAUGAUGUGAAUCAUCAUGUGUCAUCCUAGUCUAAAAGUUUGUUGUUGCCAUUUUGCAGAUCUUUAUCUUCCUUUUCCAAAAUAUGUAAUGCGUGUUGAUUUGUGGUUAUCUUAGUGUUCAGUUUCAUUUUAUUAUGACGGGUCAUUUAAAUGCCGACAUUUUCACAUUCCUGAUGAAUCAAUAUUCUAUACAGCAUGGCAGAAGAUGCGGUUGAUGCAGCUAUCAAAUCAGGGAAGUUGAAGCCUGCUAAUGGCUGUGUGACUGAUCGCCUGCGCAUUGUCGGUGGAUAUGGAUGGGAGCCUUCUUCAUUUACCAUCCUUGCUCAGCAUUAUGUUCGCAUGAAGAAGACACAUGGUGGAAAAGUUAUUCCUGGUGUAAUGGACAGUGCUGUUUCCAAGCAUUUGUCUCAUGCAUAUGGGAUUUUGGCUGAACGAGUAGCUACUAUUGCUCAGGUUGGGUUUCUUUGGACCUCAUUUGCACAUAUUCUAAUAAAAGAAGAACAUCCUACAUGUUUUCUUUUGCCAUGGCUCUUUUUUAUUCAUAUGAGAGUUGACAUAAUUUUCUGUUCAUGCCCAGUGCACUGAUUGGUUGUUGCAUUGAAAAGCAUGCCGAGUUAGCUAAGUUGUAGGUGAUGUACAAGUUCAAUACACCUGUUUGUUUCAUAAAAAACUCUUUAAGUGAGUUUAUUGUGAGAACUGAAAUGUGCAAAUUUGCUACCUUUCAAGUUUCAACCUCUUGUAAAGAUUUUGUAAGGAAUGACGAGAAGAGGCUCUUGCAGGUAACAAAAGAUGCUGAAUCAAAACCAAGGCUGAUUAUAUUGGUUUCUUUAGAUGCUGGGUGCUCUUUGCAGCUGCAUGCACCGUAACCACAAUCCCUUUAGGAUGCAUUGAUGUUGUAGAGAUGUCUUUAAAGAACGUAUUGAGGUUUAGGCAUGAACUUGCGGAAGUCAGAAUUCUCGAGUCUAACUGAAAGACGGAACUAAGUAGAAUUCCCCAGCCUAACUGAAUGCUGAGGGAUUUGAUGGAAAGCUGCUAUCUGGCGGUUUGUGAACUUGAUUGGUCAGACCAAUCAUUGUUCUACCAGAAGAAUGUGUGGAAGUAAAUGAAAGUUAAAUAGUUUUGUCUUAAGUUGACAGCUCAUGGUCUAUUAUGGGACAAAAUAUCUACUAAUUUAACAUGGGUAGUAACUUAUGUAAAAGAUUUAUGAUUUAUUCAAGGUUUGAUGACUGCACUGGGAUCUAGAGGAUUAUAAUAGCUUUCGCCGAAUGAUUUGAAUGAAGAUGAAGUAUUUCUAGGCUACGGCCUAGUAACUGGUAUAGUAUGAUUUCCAUCACGUGAUAAAACUUAUGUGCGUUACCCUUUAGCGCAUAUCCUAGACUAAAAUCCAAGUUUUCUUUUUUUGCUUUACUAUUUAUGGUUACUAGUCAGUAUCACUGAAGAAUCUACAACUUUGUUAAACAUUGUGAACACCUUUGCUUGCUUACGAGUACAUUACUGGGAUAACACUAAAUAUUAUGCUAUUCUCUUUGAUCUAUUAGCAUUUCAAAUUCUCUUUAUCGAGUUUGGCGUCACUCCCAGUAGUGCUAGAUAAUUAGCUUCAUUUCCGUGCAUAAUUUGCUUACAUUUCUGUUUUGUAGAAUGAAAAUCUAGGAAAGCGACUUGCUCAUGGAUACCCGUUUCUGGAAGCCGAGGUUGCAUACUGUGCUCGUAAUGAGUAUUGCGAAUCUGCUGUGGACUUCAUUGCUCGGAGGUCUCGUCUUGCUUUUCUUGACACUGAUGCGGCGGGGCGAGCAUUGCCCCGCGUUAUUCAGAUUUUAGCUGCUGAACACAAAUGGGAUAAGGCCAGGCAGAAGCAAGAAUUGCAGAAAGCUAAAGAGUUCUUGGAAACAUUCAAGUCCUCCAAAAAUGCACAAUUCCGGGAUGGAAAACAUAUUGGUAAGCAUUAUCUCCAGAUCUAAAUUUUGGAAUUUGGAUCAUAUGGAAACAAUUGCCCAACCAUUGAAAAUUUUAAUUUUACCAUCGAACAUUUUGAUCAUUCUUAUUUGAAUCAUUUGAUGGCUCUGCGAAAUUGUUGCCUGCACUCAAUGCACUCUGACAUCUAUCCACCCUCCAUCCUAUAUAAAUAGUUCAAUCUCUACCUGACAAUAAGUUAAGAGUUUAUCUACGUAAAAUUGGAUGAUCAAACUAAAAGCUUGAUGAACAAUGGUGGGUGUGCGGAUGCAUUGGGUGCAAGCAAUUAUUUCUCAAGAUGCAAAUCGAACAAAUUAAAACAGAAGUCAGUGAAAUCAGAACUAUCGGAGGGUGGGUAGUCGUUACCAAAUGACCCAAAGUUCAAGUUAAUUCAGCAGGCUCUUACCUUCUUGUUUUUCUUUUAGGGUAAAAUGUAUAGAUAGAGACUCUGUGAACUUCAUCUCUUUUGCAAAUAGACCUUAACUAAAGUUAUUAAUUAUACAAUCAUUUUGGUCGUAUAUAAUGCAUAUAGUUUUGGAAAGCUUUUAACUUCAGGCCACUGAUUUGCAAAACAGCGGAAGUUCAAGUGGUCUCUAUACAUUUUACCCUCUCUUUUAUGUUGUUUGGAUCUUGCUUAUAUUUUUCAUUUUAUUUUGUAGGGAUUUUGAGUUAAAUAAUUUUUGAGGGACAACUCAAUAUACAUUCCCCUAAUAUAAAUUCGAUCUAACAAAAAAAAGUGGUAUAUGAGUAAUUAAGCUCCUUUUGAUUCUGGGGACACCACUGCUUCCUACACUUUUUCUUAUGUUACCUGCUUUACUUAAAGGCAGGGUGCAGCUGAGCAUCUGUGAGAACCUCUUUUGUAGCUUCCAAAUUUCAUAUCCAAAUAAAACAUUUAUUUAUAUGUCAGUUAAGCACAUAAACCACUCGGGGUACAGUGAUUCAUAGUUACAUUUUUGCUCCUCUUUUUUUUUUAUUUUGUGUUUAGCCUCCUCUUAUUAUUAUUAUUAUUAUUAUUUGUAAAUAAUAAAUUUAUAUUUGCAAGAAUGACUCUUUCAUUGUUACGCAAGCGUCAUAGCGGCAAGUUGAACAUGGUAAUUUAUUUAUCGUAUUUAAACACGGUAAAUUGAUUUGCUAUAUUCUCUUUAACUUGGUCUAUGUGCUGCUAAGGUAAAAAGAAUAUGGUACAGCGCGCGCUGCUAAGACAAAGAAAAUAUGGUAAUUUUUUUAUUUUGUUCGCUUGAAAUUUCAACAUGGUUUUUGCGUGGCGAGAAAAAAGUCAUUUUUAUAAAUAUAAAUUUGCUGGGAUUAUUUAUAAAAAAAAAAAAAGUUUAAGAGGGGCUGCAUGUAAAAAAGCCCUCUUUCAUACAUAUAAAUAAAUCGAAACACUCAUUAAUCUACGACUUUAAACCCCUAGAACGCAAUUGUUAGGGCCCGUAUAACGCAAUUGUUGUCUAUUUGGUUGGAUAUAAUUGUAAAUAUGGGAUAGUUAGAGAAAAAUACAGUUGAAAAUAUAGCAAUUAUAAUUAUAUGUAUCUUAUUAGAUUGGAUUUAGCAGAAAAUUCUAUAAUUAUGAAUAAUAUAUUUAGCUGCACUUUGCUCGAAAUUGUACUUAUAAAUUUUAUCAUUUUAAAUAUAGGAUAGUGAGAUUACUCCUCAAGUAGAAGAAAAAUUAUUUUUUAUUUAAAAGAUAAUUUGGGAGGUGAGUUUAUUUUUUAUUCUAAGUUCUUCUCUCUCCACUUGUUAAAAUUGAAACUACAGCUAAAUUAGGCGUAUUUUCAACUGCACAGUGAAGCCAUUUUAUGCAGUUCUAGCCGUUAGAAUUCAAAUGCAUCAAAUGAAAAAAAAAACGUAUUUUAUUUAAGAUUUCAUUUUUUUUAACUACUGCCGAAUAAAACUACGGUUAAUUUGGAUAUAGUUUGUUCUACCGUAGGUAAGGGUGUGUUUGGUUCCAUGUAAAAUUAUGAAAAAAAAAAAUUCGGUGAAAAAUUUUUUUUUUAGUGGAGAACAAAUUUUACGUUCUUUAGUGUUUGGCUUGGGAAAAAAAGAAAAUAAAAAGUUUUUCAUUACGAUUGUUUGGUUGAGAAAAAAAAAAAAGAAAAACUAUUUAAUAUAUUUUUAUUAUAUAUAUUAUUAAUAUAUAACAAUUAACUACACUAUAUAUAUUUAUUAUUAUAAUUUAUAAUUAUAGAUUAAAAUUAUAAUAAACAUAUUACAUAAUAUAUAUAUAUAAGUGUUAUAUAUCUUGGGAUAUUAAUAAAUAAUUACAAAUUUAUAAAUAAAAUAUUAUAUAAUAAUAUCUCUAUAUAUAAAUAAAAUACCAUAUAUAUAUAUAUAGCGUAAAUCCGCUGCGAUGAGCUGCAUUUUUUCCUCCUCUUUUUCGUUUCCGUCGCUCUUGCGAGAAAAACGAAAGGGAGAACUUUCCUCCAAAUCUGUAAAAUUGUUUUUUACGGAAAAUUUUUGUACGUCGAACCAAAUGAACCGUAAACCAUUUUUCUACCAAAAAGUUUUCUUUUCACCUACUUUUACAUCAAACCAAACGCACCCUAAGCCACGUCUUGCAGCUCCAAUUUCAAAAUGAUAAUGCAGUAAUUUGAUCAAUGGAAUCGGCUUCGCAUGUAGUUAGAUCUGUAAUACAGUAGCAACUACGUGCAACCAGACACAGCCUCCAUUCACUAUCCCUCGGACAUUUCUCAAUGAUUCAGAUGCUCCAAUAUUACUUUCUGCUCAUAGUCAAGAGAGGUUUUCAGAGGACAAGACUGCAUGCAGAACUUUCAAUUAUGACGGCCGUCGUAUCUUCUAAAUAGGACGGAAGCUAGAAUGCGAUUUCGUAUGCAGAAAUUUUUUGUAUACAAAAUAAUAUUGCAUAGCACAUUUUAGGAGAGACGCAUGUGGACGCCUCACCUCCAAUAACACAUUUAUUCUUAGAGUGCUGCUACAGGUAUUCCAGAAGAUACUCUACAAGAUUGUUGAUGACAUAGCGUUAUUAUUAUUAUUAUUACACUCUAAAUGUUAAUUACUAAUUAAACACCAACAUCAUUAUCUUAAAUUUUAAAUCCUAACUCCUAAAAUCCUAAUCACUCCAUAUGCGGCGGUCAAAAAUGUUCCGUAUGUUAUAACUACUAAAUAUGCUCUUUUUUUUAAAACAGGUUACAUUGAAACUGAUCAUAUUUGAUGAAUGAGCAAAAUUUGUAUGCCGCUUAUAAAGUCUGCCUUAUCCCAAAUCUCAUGCUGUCAGAUUUGUUGGUGUGAAAAAAAAAAAAAAAAAAAAAAAAAAAAAAAAAAGGAGAAAAGGGCAGCCGCCCAACGAUUUUGUUCCCCAGGUGGUAAUCCUCUCAACAAAAACUAAAUAACAACUUAUAAAAUUUAUCGAGUGGGCUGGUAUGCUUCUGGAAGUACGGAGCCCUCCAUUUUUUAAGUUGUUUUCGAUGUUCGGACUUUCGAAUCGACGAUCGGCUCCGUUAGAGUUGAUCCAGAGUAUUUGAAGUACCUAGAAAAUAAAUUUUGCGAUUUUUCGAUAUCAUUUGCUUAGUGAUCGAAGUGGCUCAAAAUCAAUAAUUUUAAAGGCCGUAAUGAGCCGUUUGCAAGUUUAACGGUGGAAAAAUAUCCAAAUCACACGAAAUUUUGAUAGAAAAUUCUUUAUACCGUAUAAAACAAGAUCAAUAGCUUUGAUCUAAAAUUUUAAUGUCAUAUCAUCAUAUUUUGUAAGAUUUUUAUUUUCAGCCGUUGAUUUUGAGCCACUUCGAUCACUAGGCAAAUGAUAUCGAAAAAUCGCAAAAUUUAUUUUCUAGAUACUUCAAAUACUCUAGAUCAAGUCUAACGGAGCCGAUCGUCGAUUCGAAAGUCCGAACAUCGAAAACAAUUUGGAAGCACGGAGCGCUCUGUACUUCCAGAAGCAUUCCAGACGCACUCAAAUUUAUCUAAACUAUAAAUAAUUUUGAACUGACUAUAUAAUCAUUCAAAUUUUUAAUUUUAUUAUCUAAUCUUUCAAUUUAUUUAAUUUAAAUCGGUCAAAAAUAUUGUGGUUUUAAAAUUUAAAUUAAUUACUUACUUUGGUGAAUUUACAGUUGUGCGAAUUGCACGAGUAUGCUAACUAAAUAUGUAAAGAAAAACAACGCAUUCAGAUUAAUUUUGAAAUCAAAGUUUUGUUAACUAGCUCAAGUCAAGUAAAUUGAAAGGUUGGGUAACCGAUCCAAACUGGUCUAUAGUUGAAGUAAGUUAUGUACGUUUUUACCCAGAAACUAUUACUUGCGUCUAAGGAUAAGCAGUGUUCGGGUAAACCCAAAUUGCCAAACCUAACUGAUCUAGUUCGAUAAAUAAGACUGGUUUAUCGGUUUAAACGGUUCGGUUUGAUCUAUCAAAAUUUCACGUGAUUUGGAUAUUUCUACACCGUUAAACUUGCAAACGGCUCACUACGGUCAUUGAAAUUUGUUGAUUUUUAGCCCAUUCGAUCACUAGGCAAAUGAUAUCGAAAAAUAAUAAAAUUUAUUUUCUAGGUACUCCAAAUACUCUAAAUCAAGUUUAACGGAGUCGAUCGACGAUUCGAAAGUCGCAACAUUGAAAACGAACUGGAAGCAUGGAAGGCUCCGUGCUUCCGAUAGCAUAGUAGCCUCACUCUCUCUCUCUCUAUAUAUAUAUAUAUUAACUUUUAAAAUAUUUUAAAAUGUAAAAUAAAAUUUUCCAUGGAGUCUAACAAAAUUUUUUACUAUUAUUUUGUGUUAGUUUUUUGAGUAUAAAUUAAAUUUGAUUAUACAUGGUUUGAAUUCUUUAAAUCAAACAAAUCUAAAUUGUUAGCUAUAUUAUAAUCCUUAAAGCCCAAUUUAGAAAGGCCGAAACCGAUCAAACUGACCAAAGCGAACAAAAAAAAAAAAUUCGAUUCGAUUGGUUUUCGGUUUGAUCCAAAAAAAAAGUUAUAAAGCCGAAAAAUUCAGUUCGGGUUAACAUUCAACUAAAAACUGACUAGCUACGUCUUAUACACCACACUCCUAAAAAUGUAAAAUAAUGAUAAUAGUUUAAGAAUUAUAUAGUUUGAUGUGCUUUUUUUUAUAUUUUAAAACUGUAUAUAUUAAAUCAAAUUUUACAACUAUUUUAAACUUGUUUAAGUAUUGUUGUUGAUCAUGUUUAUCAGAUUAAUUUUAAUUUUAAAGAUACUGUAGAACGCAGCGGAAGUAUUCGUUCGUACCUUUUUGCGGAAGCGAUUCGCGCAACAACGCGAUGAGCCUGGAUCGUUUAGAUUGAUUCACGUGUCCUCGGAUCGUCCUUGAAUAUCUUCUCACGCUCCAAACUCGCGGUGGAUCGAACUACAAACGAGCGCGAUCACAAAUCCACCGUACAAGUCCCUCUAGAAUAAUAGGUCAAUGGAGGAUGUGGUUUCUCUCUAUUAUUUUCUUAUUCUCUCUCUUUUUCCGUUCUUUCGUGUAUAUAACGUUAUGUGGGAUCGCCCGCAUAUUUAUAAGGAAUUCCAAAAUCCUAAUGGCGUUAGAGAUAAGGCCAAAUCGGUUAUUAAUUGUUAUCCUAAUAUGACUAGGAUUUAUCUCUAACUAACUUUCCAAUUUGAAAGCGAGAUUAAUUCUAAUCCAAUUAGAUAACAUAACAUCCGUCGGAUCGAACCCGCUUAUGGGCGUACCCGAUUCGAUUUAACCGAAUGCCAACAGAUACUGAUCAUCAAAACUAAAGUACAGUUUAUGAGGCAUGCUGAUGAUGAUCAUCAAACAUCUUAACCUGGUGGUUUUAAUAUUUUGGAUGGUGGUUAGAUACAAAAAAUUUUAAAAAAAUAUAUAUUAGGGUUUGAGACUUAAAGUAAUUCUAAAAUAAAUGACCAUGAAAAAUAAAAUUUAGGAUUAAUUGCAUACCUCUUCCUCUGAACGCAUCAAAUAUUCAACUUUUCAUAUUUAUUCCUAUAAAAAUCCUAACGUUUUCAAAUAUAUCCCUACUGUAAGGAUCCAUUAGAAAAAUAUUGUUAACAAUAGGUAAAAUACUUAACCCUAAUUAGUGAAUGAGAUAAAUUGACUUUUUUACUCUUUUUAUAUUAUUUGUAACGGCAGAAAGAAAGAAGAUGAUCAUUGGAGAUUUUUAGAAGGAUUUUUUUGCAUAAUUCUAACGGUUGGGACUUUUGAAAUGAUAUAUUUAUGAGGAUAAAAAUGUCAUUUCAUUUAUCCUCUAUUAAAACUAAAAAGUGCUCUAACAUUAAAAAAUCAUAGGUGCAAAUAUGAAUAUUACCGAACUUUUGCAGAAAUAAAAUAUGAAAAGUUAAAUUUUAUAGUGAUAUAUUUGCUAUUCUAUAUAUUUUUCGGAAAAUGGAUAAUUGCCUAUAUACCCCUCAUAUGUUUGAAAAUAUCCGAUUUACCCCUACUUUUUUUUUCUUUCUAAAAUACCCCUCAUAUGUUCCACCGUUAUUGCAAAAUACCUCCGCAAUUAUCUCCUGUUAAGUUAACUUAGGUUAAACGUGAGUUAAACAUCUACCACAGUUAAAAAAAAUUAAAAUACCAAUUUUGCCCUUAACUUAAGGGUAAAUAAGAAAUAUUGGUGACGGUAGAGAGGUAUAUUGGAAAAGACCAAAAGUCAAAAUACUCUUUUGCCCCUGACUUUAAGGGCAAAUAAGAAAGUCAGUGAUGGUGGAAGGGUAUAUUUGAAAGGGCAAAAUAGUAAUUUUACAGAAUUAACAGAAUUAAUUAACAGAUUUUAACUCUAGGGGUAUAUUAGAAAUAGGUUGGAAUAUAAAGAGGAUAUUUUCAAUAUUAACUUUCUAAGAGGGGUAAAUCAAAAAGUCAGAAACUUUUCAGGAGUAUAUAAGCAAUUGCCCCCUUUAAAAAAUUAUAUAAAAUUUUUAAAUUCAUAAAAUUUAUUAUUCCAUUCAUCAGAAUUCAGAACAGAAGCUCCACGUGUCACUAGUGGUCCCGUGCAUUUUCAGGGCUCCAAACGAACGGACCUCGUGCUUCCACUUGGCCGCAUCCGAGUUGCCGCCUCCUCAUUGGCUCCUCUCGCGCACCACCCACGUGAAGUGCUCAAGUGCGUCACGUGCUCCGGGCAGGGCCCAUCGCACGUGCUCCCACCCUCUCUAACGCGUGAGAAAGAAAUCCAACAGUUCACAGAGAACAACUCUCUUCUUUUUUUUCUUUUUCUUUUUUUUUGGCUAAAUUACAGAAAACUCUCGUGUCAAAAUUUAAUUUUACAUUUUCUCUUUUUAUCAUUUAAAAAUUUAUAUUUUACCUCAUUAUAAAAUAAAAAAUAUUCACAGGACAGUAUGAUGUGAGCUGUGAUGAUAAAUGAUCAUUUUGCAUCUCACCAUUUUUCUCCUCAUCAUGUUCACAGGAGAGAAAGCUGAGAGCAUUUUUGAUAUAAAAAAAAAAUAUAAUAAUAUUCUAUAAACGAAACCCUAACGUAUUACUAACGGCCAAAGAGCGAAGUGUACAAUUUUCAUUUUACAAGGGGCAAAAUGUAGGUUUUUAAAUAGUAGGGGGGGAAAGUGAAAAAUCGAAUUUUGAUAGGAGGGUUUUAUAUAAUUUAGCAUUUUUUUGUGUUAAUUUUAUAUAGAUCCCUAUAAACAUAUCGAAUAGUAAAUAUAUCACAACAAAAUUUUAACUUUUCAUAUUCAUCUAUGCAAAAGUCCAGUGACAUUCAUAUUUGUUCCUCUGAUUUGUUACCAUUAGAGCACUGUUUAGUUUUUAACAAAAAAUAAAUGAAAUGAUAUUUUUAUUAUCAUAAAUAUAUCCCUCCAAAAGUCCCAACUGUUAGAACUGUACAGAAAUAUUCUCCCAAAAAAUUUUCAAUGAUCAUUUUAGGGAUAAAAAGUUCAAUUUACAUCGUUCACUACCAGGACUAAGUAUUUUACUUAUGGUUAACUAUAUUUUUCUAAUAUAUUCUAACUGCAGGAGUAUAUUUAAGAACGUUAGGAUUUUCGUAGGAAUAAAUAUGAAGAGUUGAAUUUUAUACUAGGUACCGUUUGGUUCGGGUAUAAGCAAGAACUAGCUAUUACAGGGAUAAGUACAAGUAUGGGGAUAAGAAAAUUAGUGUUUGGAUGAAAAUUGGGUUGUUCCCGGGAAUAAGAAUAAUUUUAGAUAGUUUUAUAUAGAAAAUGGAGGUGUUGGUGGGGAUAACUGAAAACUACUAUUCUCGGAUAAAAAAUUAGCGUUUGGGUAUAAAGGGGGGAUAAGAGCCUAUUCCUAUCCCUAUCCCCUAACCAAACGCUGCGCGCAAUUAAUCUUUUUUUUAUUCAAUAUAUUUACAGAAAACUGCACGCAAUAUCUGAUAUUCAAUAUAUUUACAGAAAACUGCACGCAAUUAACCUUUUUUUUUUAUUCAUCACGGCCUUCUAAUAAAGAUCAUCAUUGUCCAUUUUCUAUGGAAAUUGAAAUUACCUGAUACCAAAAAAAAAAAAAAAAAAAAAAAAAAANUCACAAGAAUUAGUAGGCUAGGAGACAAAUAAAGUAUGGGUGGAUUUCUAUUUUUAUUUUUAUUUUUCUCGAAGAACUUAUAAUAAUCCGCUACAGUGUAUAGCUUUUAGCUAUGGAAUUGUGAGGUGAUGGUUUUCGCUCUUUUCCCUUCACAUGCACACACAAAAAAAAAAAAAGAUAAUUUUUUCUGUAGUUCUAGAUCUUCAUGAGGGAAUUGGCCUUGAAUGGAGCUGAAAUGAAGAGAAUUUUGUCCCCGCGAGGACGAAAACGGGCGGAAAUUUUUCCCACUUGCGGGAACGGGGCGGGUCAGGAAUACUAAUCAGCGCCUUGCAAAAUUUCCAAUCCAAAUAAAAUACUAUAUUAUUAUAUAAUUAUUAAUUUAUUUAUGAUUAUAGAUAGCUGAUUUUGAUAUUUUUUUAAUAUAUUUUAAUAAUUAUUAAGUAUUUUAAACAUAUUUAACUUUUAGUAAAUUUUGAUUGCUAUACAUUUUUAGUAAAUUUGACGAGUCAUACUUAAUAUAAUUCGACACUGAAAACAUAUGAACUAUAAAUUUAAUAAUUGAAUAGCAUUUUUGGGGAGAGAAAACUAGCAUGAUACUCAUUUCAUUUUUUUUUAAAAAAAAAUAAACUAAGAUAGAAAUAUAAAAUAAUUAGACGCAUCAACUACCAAACUCUUUCUCAACUGCGCUAGAUACAGUUGGUAAUCUUCUUACAAUGUCUAGAAGUAAGUUCUUGUCCUCAUACAUAACUUGGACUCUCUAUAAAUGUUGAGAUAAGUUGCAGUUUUUUCUGAGCUCUCUCUCCCUCUCUCUCUAUCUCUCUCUCUCUAGAGCAUAUAUAGAUGAAUAUAUUAAUUCCUUCUAAUGAUGUUUCAUGGCCAAAAUGCUUUGAUAUAGCUGCAUUUGCACCUGCACCUGUAGAGGAAUUGAGCAAAAACAUUGAUGAAAAAAAAUUCUUCUUAAAGGUGCAGGGACAGAUGCAGCUGUAAUCCAUUUUGGAUUCUCCACUUCCCCCCACUUGUAACUUUUGUUCUCUUCAACAUAUUCAAGAGGUGAGUUGAUGUUGUUUUACCAGGAUUUAAUCUUUAAUCUUUAAUCUUUAAUCUUUAAAAAGGUUUUAAUUGUGAGUUGAAGAAAUAAGUUUUUUACUAUUUUGACAACUCUUUUCCAUUCUAAUUAGUAGGCUCUCUCUGAUCUUGACUGCAAAUGCUUGGAUUUUCCUUUUUCCUUUUUUUUUCUUUUUUUUUUUUUUUUUGAAUNCAACUAGCCCCUUUAUUGACCAGUUUUUCCAGUAAAAUUAACACAUUUCAUAGUUUUCUUUUUGUAAAUAUAGUUUCAUUUGAACUGUUUUUCCAUUGAAAUUAACACAUUUCAUAGUUUUCUUUUUGUAAAUAUAGUUUCAUUUAAGAGCUAUGCUGCUGUUGUGCAAAAUAUGUUAGAGCUGGCAAUUCAGCUUGUUGUUUGGGAGCCAGCUCGUAUUUGGCUCAACAUGAGUUCGGAAAAGAUCAUUUGUUUAAAUAAAUAAGCCGAAUAUGAACAGCUCGAAAUCUUAACGAGCCGAACAUAAACUAGAGUCAGCUCACUCGUAUUCAACUCGAUAUAUCUCGCGUAUGUGUGUGCGUAUAUAUAUAAAAGUUAGUACUUCCGACUUUUUGUCCUUGGAUCAAAAAUUGUAAGAUUGGGAUGAUAGUAGUCCACUUUAAGAUUGAGUAGUCAACCUAGGAUAAUAAUAUUAAUCUAAAGGUCAGAAAUGAUCAAAAGGAUUGAUCCAAGGCCAAAAAGUUGGAAGCACAAACUCUCAUAUACUUUCGAAAGCAUAGUAGCUCUACUCUCUCUCUCUCUCUCUCUCUCUCUCUAUAUAUAUAUAUAUAUAUAUUGUAAAUUAUCACUAUUUGGAUUUUAGGCCGGCUGGAAUAUAAAAAGAACUAUAUUUUAUAAGUUUUAAUAAUUAAGAUUUUAAUUUUUUUAAUUUUCUUUCAACUUUCUAGCUAGUAGUAGUGCUGACAAUUUAACUUAUGUUCACGUGCCAAUUUAUGUUCGGCUAGUUAAUAAGCCAAACACAAUCUGAAUUUAUGAGCUCGAUAUUUUAACGAGCUAACUCGUGUUCGGCUCGUUUAACAAACUAAAAAGUACAAGCCGGUCUCAGUUCACUCUGUGUUCGAAUCUCACUCAUGUUCGGCUCGAUGACAACCCUAAAAUACGUACAUUGUUUUGGAAAGUUGCAGGACAAAAGAUCUUUAUGUGUCAGUGCUACAAGGUACAGUUGAUAUCUAUUAGUAAAGGCACCAUAGUUUUGAAGCAUAAAAGAAAACAUGCUACAGUGUAUUAAUGCAGAAUAUAUGUACUACAAGAUGCUAUAAAUCAGAUCUUUUUGGUUUCUUUAUGAUUGAUGACAGAAUUAAUAUUUUUAUUUUUAAUAAACUUGAUUUUGUGAUCUAAUCGCAGCUUCAUUAAUCCAAACGACCACCCCUAAUUUGAAUGAGUUUGACAAAAUUAUGAGGAUCUGAAUCUCUUAUUUUCGUAGCGAUAUUAUAAUUAUGUCGGUCAUUUAGUAUAGAGUUUUCCUUUCCUUUUUUUUUUUUUUUUUUUUUUUCUUUUUAGGCUCCAAGGCCCGUAACACCCUACCCUACCCCAUCAAGGAAUGAUAUAAUCCUAGUAUUUCAAGACAAGAACCAAGCAAAUGUAAAAUUCAAUUAUUAAAAAAAAAAAAAGAGGGGAACCUUAUUUUAUUUUGUAUUAUUUGCUUCUAUUAUUGCUUACAAUUUUUUAGUAUAAAACACAAGGUGUAGUUUAUACCUUGACCCCCUCCCCUUUUCAUUUGCCUCCACUAUCCUUCUCCUGUAGAUUCAUUCCCUCCUCAUUUCAUGAGAAAAAAACCAGAAAAUAAAGAAAUGAUGUAUAACUUUCAGGUCAUGUUUGAAUGCACAGUAAAAAAAAAAUCAUAAAAUUUAUAGCCUGAGAUCUGAAGCUGAAUUCAGCUCUGAGCCCCAUGCAAGCUUUCAUUUGACUACUGCUGCAAACAUAAUCAACAGCACAGAAUACAGUUCCAAGUUAAAUUUUCGAUAUAGGCUCUACCGGAGCUCAAUCAACACAAUUAUAUGCAUAUAUACCUUGAAUUCUAAAUGUCCAGGCACAAAGUAACAUAAAUUCCGAUGCACGAUAUUUAAUUGAAACUCUUAACUGCAACUUAUAUAUCAUGAAGAAAAAAAAUAAUACACAAUUAAAUUACAGCAAUAUCAAUUUCCCAGACCGGCGAAUCACCGGAUUAACACACUUGAAAUUACUUUCAGGGGGCAUGAUAGGUCAAAAUGUGCCCUAUAUUCUUCAGACUAGCUACAAAGCUAGAAGAGUUCAAGCCCCUCAGCUUGUUUUCCCCAACUAAUCAACUAAUUACAUGCUCUUUACAGUAAAAUAACAAAGGAGAGGUUAGAGAAAGACCAGAACAAACAACCAAAAAGGGAAAAAAGAAAAAAAACCUAAGAAUCAGAGGCUAAUGUUCAUGCUUCACCCGCCCUUUGAGUAUUCCAGGAAUAGGAGGAGAAUUAAUCGGCGGCUUGGCCAUUGUAUCCGGCCCUGUGGGUUGCGGCAUGUGAUGCUGAUGUGUAUUUGGUGUGCUGGAGCAUUCGCCUCCGUUGGAACUCGGCUCACAGGAGCCCUCCUUUUGGCCCCUUUCGCAGAACCUCAUGGCUUUGAGCACAUAAGAGUCAUCGUGCAACUCGAAUGGAGUGCUGUUAUGGAAACAGACAUCAGAAGAUAUGCAUACAAAGGAACCUAAGCGGUGUUUGUGUUUUAAUAAUCUACAAUAUUUCGAUCAUAGAAAGCUCAGGUUCAAUCAUUACAUUAAUGUCUCUUUUAAAGUUAAAGGAAGAUAGCUAGUACAAGUUUAGCAUGUUCCUGAGUUUAUUAUAUGUUCUGCUUGUAAAGACCGUAAAGACCAUGCAGAUCACAGGACAACAGUAUUGACGCCGAAGAGAAAUAGGAAACUACAAUAGCUGAUGUAGGACAAAUGAGUAACAUAAUAAAAAGUGUCUCAAAAGUGAUAAUGUAGGUCACUUAGCUAGGCCAUCCACAAAAUUUUACGGCGAUACUGUGAGACAUGGUUAUCCCUGGUAGUGAUCUUGGUUUGCAUAUCCCUGCACUAAUUAUACAUAUGUGCAGAUAAAAGAUUCUCGAGUUAUUUUAUAUUAUUUAAUAUCCAAAUUUCCUAUAUCUAUGCAAGUAAUUAUUUGUCUGCAGGUUGACGAAUAGCUCCAUCUGUUAGGUAUAGCUCUGUACAGCAGCAAGAAUUCAAGUUAAAUGACCCCAAGAAUCAAGACUCUUAAUUCCCCAAGAGGCAGAAGAGAUGGGAAUAAAAAAGGGGGGGAAAAAUAAGCCUCUUAUUCAUGAAACAACCAUCGAAGACAGAUUUAACAAACAAGGACUUAAGCACUGUUGCACAGGGUUGUGCCGAAAACUUGCCGGUACAGCACAACAUCAUGCGUGCGGGCCGUGCCAAUGCGUGCCAGUCACAAAAAUUACAUACGUGCGGACACAUAAUGACAUAAAAUAUUUAUUUUCUUCAGCAACAAAAUAUUCUAAUUACUUAGCAUGUGUCAUUGUCAAAUCUUUUGAACUUUAUUGAGAAAAUUACUUACUAAUUUAAAGAAAGAGGGUUUUGAGUUAUGCUAUCAGCCCGGGGACUGUAUCGUGACGAUAUCUUGUUGGCAUGAUACAGCAUGAUAGAUAAGGCUUGCCCGAUGGGCACUUAAAUCCUUAUUAAUAAAUAUUAAUUGAGUACCCAAAGCCUUCUCGACGGUAGAAACCAAAGAAAAUAUUGAUCAUAUGAUAUCAGGAUGAAUAGAAAUAGAAAAUGAGAUGAUUCGUGGGCAUCAAAGCAUGAGUCAUGACAUAACAGAGUGUGCCAAGACGCAUCAUCUACAUCACCUGUUGAAGUCGAAAUGCACCAGCUGCAUAUCUUCUGAAAUUUCAACUUCCACAGUAGCAUGUGGGCGAGUCUUUUUUAACACAUACCAUAGAGAAUGACAUCAGUAUUAGCCAAAUGCCUUAUACAAGAGAAAGAUGAGAAAAAUUCUAACAUCAGUAGUUGCAUAUUUCCAUAUAUUAAUAAAAAGAAAUUCAUGUAUGUUACAGCCAAAUAGCUUCUAGGACAAAUGAUAUUUAAGUAAUUGGUAAUACCAUAUCCUAUCUAUAUAAAAUCUAAAUAGCAGGUAGUGGAAAAGAAGCUAUUUACUGGUCAUACUUAAUAAAUUUACCUUUUUAAGUCAAAUUAGUCUUGAGCGAAUUCACUUACGAAAAUUCACUAAUCAUUUAGCAUGCAGCAUUGGGGUGAGGGUUCUCAUAGUCAAGAUUCUUUCUCCUACUAAGGUGGUGGAAUGUAAAAUAUUCCAGUUUUCAGAAAAGAACUCAUAGAUAAGGUCUCAUUUGGUCACACUUGCGCUUUUUUUUUUCUUCAACUCAUAUUGUGAUGGUAUCAGCGGAAACAAGCCUAGGCCCUAGCCCAUAUGUAGUAGCAAGAACUCAACCAACAAGAACUCUCAUCUAAUUACUAGUACUUUCUUGAACACUACUGAAAUUGAAUAAUUUGCAGAGCUAUUGCCUUCUUUCUCCUGGACCUCAUAGAAAACACCUAUCAUAUGAUCCACAGGUUCUUUUCUGGAAAAAGCAACAUUUUUAAGACGCGCAUAAGAUCAUGGCAACAUCAGUGUGAGAGAAGACUACAUAGAGGCUAGUGUGAUGUACUCGAUUAAGGGAAAAUUUCAAUGAUAUCCCCUUGUUAGGUUAGAUAUGAUACUUCACCUGCAUUAAAUAUUGAAAAACGAUGGGUUCUCACAUUUUGUCCAAACAUUGUUCUCGAAAAUCCUUAAUCAUUCCCGAAAGAUCAAAAAAAGAAAGUCACAUGCUCGCUUGAACAUACAUUUUACACAAUCAUUCAUCAGCAGGAAAUAAGUGAUACAUAUAUAAUGUUCAUUUUUACAUGCAAAAGCACAACUGGCAAUUUAUUAUAUAGCAGCAAUCAACUAAAAGGAAGGUAUAACAACAAUGAUUAAGUACAGAGGACAAAUAUUUUUAGUUUAGAAGUCUAAAAAAAUUAUGUUCACACUUGGUUAAAAAAAAAAAAGAAAAAAAAAAAGAAAAAAAAAAAGAAGAGAGAAUUAUAAUAAGCUCAGAAUUAAGCUUAGAAGAAGAUCAGAUAGGUUUUAUUCAUCAAUAUUCAUUCAGGCUCAAUUGUCAUAAGGAACAAACAAGGAGAUAAGCAAUGCUUCAACAUAACCAUGAGAAAAGUUUGAAUUUGCAUUUUCACGACGGAAAGACCCAAAUUAGAAAAUAAAAGUCAAAGCACGGAUUGUAGCAAUUUAAAUCACAUCUAGGUGGCAAGCAAUCCAAGCUUGGUGUGAUACUAAAAUUGUAAAUAGUUUAAGCCUAAAAAAAAUAAAGAAAGGAUGACCUAUCUGAUACUCAUGUCAAAGCGAUUAUUAGUACCAACAGAAACAACAAUAAUAUCAAUCAAUACGGCACAACCAAAAUCAAUACAUGGCAAAAAAAAAAANGUUCGAAUGAAGACUUUCUUUUUCUACGGUUUGAGUUUGAGUGGAAAUUGCAGUUGGUUUUACCUUCACUUAGGAAAAAAAAAAAAAAAAAAACUUUCCUCGAUUGACAAUCACUGAGGCAUUGGAUUAUUUCAACAAAGGUUUAAAUGCAAACAAAGAUAAGUGUAAAAGAAAGUUGAUAAAGAAGUUCUAAAUCCAUUCUCUUCUCACUAUCUUUCUGAUAAUUCAAGGUUUUUGCCCCGAAUCCCUUCAAAUCAAGAACAACAUAUUCUCAAAACUAGAUAAUAAGACCCAGAAGUAAAGAACAGAUUGCAUAUUGCUAUAUAUAGAAGUUACAGAACAAUUUAGUAAACUAAAGGUCAACCCCUGCCUAAUCUUGCUUUCAGCCUACUUCAUAUGCAUAUCAUAGGUACAAGCAUGUUGAAAUUAUAAUUCUGUCACACAGAUAUAAAACUGUUUCAUUGCACACAGCUCAGAUACUAAUUAGGUCCUAAAGUUAAAUUGACCAAAAUACACAAGUAAUAUACAGAAUUUGGUUUAUAAACAACAGUUACAGUACCUGAACUAAGAUGAAAGGUAAAGCGACACCACCAGAAGGAAUAUUUCCUGAUCCAUAUAAAUGUUCAUUUCGCUGUACCAAGUUUUGCAGUCCUAUGAACUAAACGAAGGGGAAAAAUUAAAAAAAAAGUGAGCUUACUGGUCAUCCAAGCAAUCAGUUUCUUGUUGACCACAGCCAAGAUAGUAAGAUAUUACAUAAUUAAUGCCAGUCUAGACUUGUUGUUCCUCUUAUAACACAAUAUGUGCUUGUUGCAUUAGUAAACUCACUGAACUUAAUUGUAGAAUAAAGUUGUCAAAGAUGGCAGAUGAUAUAAGCACAUUUAAUAAUACUAUUUAAGAGCGCAUUCUCCACUACUUCCAAGGUCAAUAUAUUGAAAUAAAUAUCAUACUGUGAUCAUAAAUGACAAGUCAAAUAGGUGCAACUUUCCUUGAUUAGUGACUAUAGGAAGAGUUUGAACAAUCAGUGAGAUACUUAAAAAUGUAUAAGCUUCAUCAUUAUUCUUUAUGUUCUCUGGCCUACAAAAGCAAAACAUAAUCAGCAAAGCUUAGGCAUGCCAUGAUAUCAGUGUUUCAUACUACCAGGCAAUGACUUGAGCGAUACAAAAGAUGCAGACAACACUAGAAUGACAACAUAAUAAAUUUGGAAAACAAUAUAUGUCAGAGUAAGUUACUUUCAUCAUGACUAAGAACAAUAGUGCAAUCUUACUUGGUCUUGUAAUUCUUGCAAAUAUGCAGUUUUCUUCUCAAUCCUGUUUUUCAGUGCCAUGCGUUCUGCCUGUGAUAAUUAUGACUACAGAAGAUUAGAAUUAAUUCCAAUAACACUUGUUGCAUUUUCAUAUAUCAAACAAAAAAAUCACUUAAUAAAGUCUAGGCUUCUAGCAUAAAUAAUUCUCGCUAGAUACAAGCAUUUCACAUACUAAAAAGUAUAAUACUGAAAACCUUUAAUUCUUCAAUAUCAUUUAGACUAGUUCGAGGUAACCCCUUCCACUGUAUUUCUUUCUUAUCUUUCGAGAUAAUAUCCAUAGCCAUGAGAACAUUGAGGGCAUCAUACACCCUCCGACGUAUGUUCUUCUCAUCGUACUGUUGCUGCAUUUUUAAGAUAUCCAUGAAAUCAUGCUCACCAAAUGAAAUCAAUUACAGUAAAAACAAGGGAUGAUCAUCUAUUUGUACUGGAAUAGAAUACCUGGUCUGGGGAUGCCAAUUUACCAUUGGGAUCUGCAAACUCAGCUACAAGUUCAUCUGCAACCUGACAAAAUUUUUAAGAAAUUUAGACACGAAAGCUCAAAUGCAAUGAACUAGAGUGGCAACCAUAAGCACAACAGGAGUGUUUAAAGCAAGAAAUAACAUUUGACUUAACAGAAGGAAUAUGACAGAAAUAACAUGCGAAAAAUGAAGAAAGCUCAUAAUACUUGAUUACUACUAAUAGAAACUAGCAAUGUGGAACAGGUAGUUAUCAAGCUUCACACAGAAAUAGAUGCCAAAAUAAGAAAACACUAAACUUAAAUAACCAAUGAACAGAUUGAGAAGAGAAAAGCUGACCUCAUUGUAAGUAGUUCUCCCCUUGCUUUCCACUUUCUCACAAACUGAGCGUGAACAGAAAAGACAAAACAUGCACAUUGCAGAAGCAAAUAUUAUUAAUUUCUAAAAUGCAAUGCAAAUAGAAGGUAAAGUAACCGUAUACUGAUACCCCAUAUCUUCAGUACAUAAAGCUAUCCCAUGGCAGAAAGUUUUGCUAGUAGCAAUAUCAAAUUAGUGAGAAGAUAUGUAACAUCAACUCGGAUUGCCAUAAUAAACAUCUCCUAAGACAAGAAAGAGAACACCAUGCAACAAACCAGCAUACGAAGAAGAAUUUUCUAUUUACCUUUCAUACUAAACUGGCGGAGCCCUCUACCACUUUUAUCACCUGCGGUCACCCUAGCUCCGCGUUUUUUCUUCUUCCCACUGAUCAAGCACAUUACUAUAAACAUAUCAUGGACAAAAUAAAGGCGUACAAUAAACCAAAAUGUAUAUACAUUCUUCUGUUAUUCAACUAUCUCCAACAAGCCCAGUGUUACAGGUCCAGUAAAUAAUGAACCAGAAGAAACCAGUGGUCAUCAGUGGGACAUUUCUCUAAAAAGUAGAUAUUGAUAUCAAAAUAGUAUGUUUGGCAGCAUGGAAAUAGCAUUAUUUGGUUAUAAAGGUCAAAAUAUAGGUUCUCUCUUUCCUUGCACAGAAUAUGGCAUAAAAUAACUAUAAAUGCUUCUCGAAACACUAGUGGGCAAGUGAUUAUUAAUUGAUCAAACUCACCAAGAGCAAAACAAAUCCAGCCAAAGCCAGAGAUCCAAGAAAAGAAACUGCCAAAGGUUGCUCAUUGCACCUAGAAUUUUCAUUCACAAUUUACACUACCAGUGGAAAGAGCAACAUCUACACUAGCAUUUCUCUGUCCUUAAUCCUCAAAACAACCAUUAUUUGCAGAACAUGGAAAAGGAGAGAAUUCAUAUGUAGAUCUUGAUGUAUUACCUAUCCUGCUUUAACAACGCGACAAAGAAGGCAACCUAACUCAAAACGCAAAACGACUAGCAACUCCAUUUUCACGGAGGAAAAAAAGACAGAAAUAGUAUGAGGAAAUGAACUUGGGUCAAGGGGCCAAAGAGAUAUAACUGCCAACAAAUCAUCACACAAAAUGCAAUCAACGAUUUCGUUACCUCAAAAUCUGAUAGAGUAGAAAAUGAACAUAUAUCACUACUCACCUAAUCAAACACUCCCAAUCAUACUCAACCCUAAAAGCCAUACCAUAUUUGACAAAACCAAUCAUUACCUUCAACAAAUCAUUGCACAAAAUCUUUAGCAUCUAAAAACCCCCUUGCUUUUACUUGUAUUGCCUUCUUUUCCUCACCAAUUUUUUUCUGGCUUGGACUUCUAGCAUAGAAACAUCUGACGAAUAUAAUAAAAGGGGCCAUAUCUGCCCACAAAAGAGAGCUGAUUAGCUCAUACUUCCCACCAUAUCCCUCUUCAUUACUACAACAUCAAGCCCCAACAUAUAUGCGAACCCAAUAAGAUAAGUUCAAGGGGACAAAAUCAGCUGUUUUUUUAUACUUAAAGACACUCUAAAUCAAACCUGGCGAUUUCUUCUUAUCUUGGAUCCUAAAAUAAAGAUUAUACAGCAUGCAAACUCUUCACCAAUUAUACAAUAAAAACCCAGCAUUCCAUCAUUUAAGCACAAUUCAUCACAUCAGCAAUAUAAAGCACCAUAUAACAACACCGCAAUCCAGAAAAAAAAAAAUUAAAAAAAAAUCACUUUUACCCUAACCCAAGUUACGCGCACUUGAACACAAAUCAACAACCCAACUUUUAGAGGGGGAAAAAAGAAGUUGAGGACGAACCUAACUGCCGCCUGCGACGAGGGCGCGUCAUCGCCAUGGAUGUCGAGGUUGUUGAGCCUCACGAAGGUGUUCUCGCUCGCGGGGGUCCCGGUCCCCGUCCCCGUCCCCGUCCCCGCACCGACCACCUCUGCUGCUCCUGAUAUCGCCGGAAGUGGAAGCGGAAGCGGAAUUGGGAUCGGUCAGCAGGCUUCCCUGCGGAGCUCGGUGCCGGGCUAUUUCGGCAGACUGAGCAGCACAAUGUCUUCCUACAGCAAUCCCACGGGCAGUGGGCUGCCUGCUGCUGCAGUGUUAGGCCGCAACCUUCCCUCAUCGCAGCCUUCGGCCAUGGCUGGUGCCACUCCGGGCCUUUCGUCCGUGCCCGGUCAGGUUCCUGCAUUGCUGGGCGGUGCCGGCCCUGGAGGUUAUCGUGGAGGCUUGGAUGGUGCUUAUGGGUCUUCUCAGUUUGGUGCUCCUGGUCUAGGUGGGUUCGGAGGCCUUGGAAUGGGCACAGGAUCUUCGCUGUAUCGCGUGCCUCCGACCUCAAUUGGGGUGCCUUCCGGGGGUUAUUCGGAAAGCGCGCACUAUUCUCUGUCUUCGUCGGCGUACCCAAGCCAGCAUCUCCAGAAAAUUGGUUCAUCUCCUGGGCCCGGGGCUGUGGUUCCAAGUGCGGCAGGACUUUACCCGACCUUGCCGCCGUAUUUCUGAGGUACUUCGCUUCAUACAUCAUAUUUUUUUUCCUCUUCUGACAUAUUGCUGAUCAGUUCUUUGUUUUUUAUGUUGUUGUAGCUCACAAAGUUAGUAAGUUGCUUAGUGAAGUGUUAUGUGCCAUGAUUCUUCCAAAGCAGAACUAACGCGCCUGUACUAACUUGUCAAAGUGGCCCUUAAGUACAUAACUUGCAUUGCCAAAACCCUAAUUACUAUUUUCACUGUUUAGUUGUUAUAUGCUGAGGCACAUCCUAAUUUAGUCAGUGGGGAGCUAUCGGUUGUGACAAACCCAUUGUGUUAGCCUUGAGAUGUUCACUAAUGUGUAAGCAUCCUCCCAGUAUACAUCCAUCUAAGAUGCCAAACAUAUGAUAUCCGGCAAUGUCAUUGCCACCGACUUUGACGACAUAUUUUGUCUGACAGACCAAAGAAAACUCCUGCGAUAUAUCUAACCAAGUGGCUUGCUUAAAUACUACCGCUGGAGGCGGCUCUUGGGCCAUAUGGAAAGGCCCAAGUAAUUUACUAAUAGCAGUUUGGAAUUACAUUUAAUCAACAUGGCAUGAGAUUCUUAAGACUAAGUUAUUAUUAGAUUUCUAUACCUUGCAACCCAACCCCAUUCCCGUGUCCUGUCGUCCUCCGACUGGGUCUACUGGGUCAGUUCUGACUUUGUUGUAAGUGCUGCUUUGGGCCUUGUUCUGAUUGCUGUGGAUGUUAAAUUCUCUUGAAAUGUCUUAUGCUGAAAAUCAUGCAACCAUGUUGUAACUAUCAUGGUUGUUCUUCUUAUCCAUUGUUUCUAAUUUGUAUGUGUGUGUUUUAGUGAUGAGUUUGAAUGUGCAAUUUAUUUUUGGUUGAUCUUAGAAUUGAAGCUUCGUUGAAUUUACCACUUUGAGUUUAAGAAUGUCUGUUUUUUUAGGAACAAAUAAUGAUGUUUACUGAUGCUCAAAUACUGUUAGUUAGGCAUUGUGAUUCUUUUAGGCUACAUGGUUAUGGGGACAAUAGGGGAUCUCCUUCAUCCUGCCAAUGAAAAUUGAUAGUGGUUGUUAUUUUGUUCAAGUUGAGUUACUUUGUAUGUCUGCCGGGGAUUGUCUUUUUUCAUUUUUUAAGAUGUUAGCAUAGCUCCUUUGUAAUGUGGUAAAGAAGUGAUGACUUUUGUGGUUGGUUGUGUUUGUUGCCUCCUGUUGCAUGUGUGNUUCAAAAUCAAUAAUUUUUAACGGCUGAAAAUAAAAAUUCUAUAAAAAGUGGUGAUAUAGCACUAAAAUUUUCGAUCAGAAAUAUUGAUCUUGUUAUAGAUAGUAUAAAGAAUUUUGUAUCAAAAUUUAAUCUGAUUUGAAUACUUCUACACCGUUAAACUUGAAAAUGGCAGAUAUCAACCAUUAAAAAUUAUUGAUUUUGAAUCCUUUCGAUCACUAGAUAAGUGAUAUCAAAAAAUCGCAAAAAUUAUUUUCUAUAAACUUCAAAUUCCCUAGAUCAAGUGUAACGGAGCCAAUCGUCGAUUCGAAAAUUUCAUAGCUAUGGUGCUCGUAAAAACACCAAGCACUUGGUGCUAGUAAUUUUUUUAUCGUUAGAUCUACGCCGUUGAUCAUUUUUAACCGUUAGAUUAUACACUUUAACCAACCAACCACCCACUCAAUCCUAGAGAGCCCACAUCAUCCUAACCGCAUAUUCCUUAAUCCAAUAGCUAAAAAUCUACAAGUAUCAAUAACUUGGUACUUUUAAAAGCAUAAGAGCUCAAUUAUAUAUAUAUAUAUAUAUAUAUAGUUGAGCUAGAAUACUAUCGAUAGUAAACGGGCUUCGAUACCACCCAUUUGUUUUCGAUGAUAGAGCCUCCAAAUCGACGAUCAGCACCGUUCAACAUGAUCUAUACCACUUGAAGUGUUUAGAAAGUAUUUCAAAUCUUUUCGACAUCAUUUGCCUAAUGAUCAAAGGGUUUCAAAAUAUGUAAUUUUAAUGGUCGAUAUGAGGCGUUUUCUAGUUUAACGGCGUAAAGAUAUCCAAAUCAAUUGAAAUUUUGUUAGAAAAUUUUUUAAACUAUUUAAAAUAAGAUCUAUACUCUUGAUCUUGAUUACAAGAUUCCUAUCAUCAUUUUUUAAAGAAUAUUUAUUUUCAGCCGUUCAUUUUUGUGUCUAUUCGAUGGAUAAGAAAACAAUAUCGAAAAUGUAUGAAAUUUAAUUUCUAAACACUUCAAGUGGUAUAGAUUACAUUUAACGGUGCCGAUCGUCAAUUUGAAGGCUCCAUCAUUGAAAAUAAAUGGGUGGCAACGAAAUCCGUUUACUAUCGAUAGUAUUCUAGCUCAACUAUAUAUAUAUAUAUAUAUAUAUAUAUAUAUAUAUAUAUGUAUGUAUGUAUGUAUGUAUGUAUGUAUGUAUGUAUGUAUACAUACAUACAUAUAAACUUUUUCUUUUUUUCUCUUUACAACCUGAUGGUCUAUCUUUUUUUUAAAGGUCUUAUACUUGUUAUUUGUUUUUUUCAAUAAACAAUUUGUCUUAUUAUUCUUUGACUGUGUAAUACCUUACACAAUGGAUUGAUGUUUAGAAUUGGUAUUCUAAACAAACUAAAAACAUAUACAAUUUUCUUUGCAAAAAAAAAAAAUCAUAUAUAAAAGCAUUAAGAUUAGCACCUCACACAAAAAAAAAUCUUGAAUAAUUAUUGCAAAAAUAUUUGUAAAUUACUUCACAAUAUUUGGCAAAUCAGCGCAAGAGUUGAUACAUGUUCCGGCUCAACAACUUGCAACUGCAGCAAAUUCAAACAGAUUUAUUCUACCUUCUAUUAUUAAAAAUAUUAUUGGUCAAACUUUUGUUUUUCAAGUUGCCCUUGACACUCGCAAAUUGAAUUCAAGUAUGCAAUCACUCAGAGUCAUAAAGAUUUUUCAAAAUGUUUUGCCUGCAAAGAUCAAGAUUGAGAAGGAAAAUGAAGAUGCUGUCGAUAUUAAGAAAGACGGUAUACCUGCAACCCCUAAGGAAUCACAAAAUUAUAUAGUGGACAAAACAUCUGCCAGUGACGUGACACAAACAAAGUAAGAGUACUUAUCUAUAUUUACAUAGUACCUUAAUUGUGUUUAUUGUAAAACCUAUAUUUAGUUUUUUUUUUUUUUGUAUGUAUAACUCUCAAAUUUAAAACCUAUAUUUACUCUUUUUUUUGUAUGUAUAAUUCUCAAAUUUAUGGUGAUAAGGAGUGCUCAAUUAAGGAUGGAUGACCCUGUUAAACAGUCAAGAGGCAAGAAAAAGAAACUCAGGUAUCGGAGAAUACUUAUACAAUUUAUACAAUACAUAUAAUUUGGUACCAAUGUUAUACUAAUUUUAUUUUUAUAUUUGUACUUUUUGAAUU